rnacentral:lncRNA from 1 species
CCGACUCAAAGCAUCGGCUACUUUGUUGGUUGUUCCAAACUUAUGCACAAUGAGGUAGUUAAACCUUUCCAGGUAUGCUGCCCAUCUUGCUAGCAUGCGAUCCACAUGCUUUUGAUUUCUAAAAUGCUUCAAGGAUUGAUGGUUAGUCACAACAAUGAAUUCCUAAGGCAACAAAUAGACUUCCCAAGUCUUUAAAGCCGCGAAAACAGCAUACAAUUCUUACUGAUAGGUACUCCAAUUUUGUCUUGCCUCACUUAACUUGUCACUAAAGAAACCAAUGGGUUUUCGUUCUUGAGAUAGAACUGCCCCAAUGCCUACUCCACUUGCAUCGUACUCUAACUCAAAAGUCUUAGUAAAAUCAGGUGGUGCCAAGACUGGAGCUUGUGACAACUUUGCCUUUAUGUCUUUAAAACUAGCUUCAGCAAAUUCAUUCCACCGAAACUUUCCUUUCUUUAGGCAUUCAGUAAUCGGUGCCAUGAAAUUUUGGCCAUUCUCUGAUUGCUUCAACUUUGGAGUCAUCAACAUGAAUGCCCUCACUUGUUAUGACAAACCCCAAGAAAAGAAGUCAUGUUUGAAUCUCAACUGACGGUUGCUCUUCGCCUCUAACAAUAAGUGCAGCACACAUGUUUGCCUCCUUCAAGUCUUCCCUAAACUCAUAAAAGGUGUUGGAAAUGGUUAACAUAUUUUUUCUCUCCUCCUUAGAGGUAUUACCAUUUGAUUGGUUUGGUAGGAUGAUGAUCUUUCUCUUGUUCUAAGUGAAAGAGUAAGAAUUUUCCUUCCAUUUGUGUGUAGUAUCGACAUCAAACUGCCAAGGUCUCCUAAGAAGAACAUGCUGGCAUCCAUAUCGACAACAUCACAUAACACAUUUGAGCGGUAGUACUUUCCCAAAAAGAGUGGCAGGUUGCAUUGUUUGGUGACCCUCGUAUUCACCCCUUUCUUGAUCCAUCCAAUAGUGUAGGAAUCAUGUCUCUCAAGCUUAAAAUGGUUCACCAAAUUCUGCGAGAUAAGAUUCUCACAACUGCAAGUAUCAAUCACUAAUUUGCAUACCUUGCCAUUCACCAUGCAUUUGCCCUCAAAUAUUUUCUUCCUUUGUGUGUUGUCGGCCUGUGGCGUUGAGCACAAGAGAUGCUGAAUCACACAUACCACCCAUUCACCCUCUUCUGCACAAACAUCUUGGCCUUCAACAUCUUCAGAUUCAUAUUCUUCGUCAUCCUCGCCAUCAUGGAUUGUUGUGUUGACAAAUUUCCUCUAUGGGCAAUUGCUAGAUACAUGUCCCUCUUCCCAACAUUUAUAGCAUUUUACCACAGGCUUUGCCCUACUCUUGCCUCUAGCUUGCUUCGGGGCAGGUUGCUUUGUCUUUGGUUGGGUGGUCUUCUCUUGCACUUUAUGGGGGAGACUCCUAGACGGGCCUUCCGUAUGUGAAUAUGGAGCCUUACUUGCCUUUCUUGUCUUCACCAACCUCUCGGCCUUUAAGGCUAGAGCUUGUGCUUGGUCAAUGGACCAAACCUGUUCCAUCAUCAAACGAUCCUAAGUAGUGUCAUUGAGACCGUUGAUUUAUCUUGCAAUUUGUUGAUUUUAGUUUCAACAAGGUUGCACCUCACUUGUAGCUUUAGAAACUCUUGAGUAUAUUCUGAAACAGCCAUAUUUCCUUUAACACAAUUCUGGAACUGAAUAAAUAGGAUCUGAUCAUAAUCAGCAGGCAAAAAUCUUCCUUUCAAAAGAUUCUUCAUUGUCUCCAAGAUCUCACACAAGGUUCUCCUCUUAGUCUGCGGUCGUCUUGAAGGCGAUGCCACCAUGCACCAGCUCCUCCUUUUAGCUUGUAUGUGACCAAAGAAACUCUACGGUCUUCUGGAAUAUUCAUGACAUCAAAAAAAGUCUCCACCUCGUACAACCAAUCAAGGCACUCUUCAAUAUCAACAUUUUCAUUGAAAGUGGGGAUUUUAGCUUUCACCUUGUAUGUAUCUCUCGCAUUUGUAGCAUUGGUUACUCUCGGAUACGCAUAGAGGUCAGGUUCUUCAAGACCCUCAUCAGAUUCUUCACCUUCAGAAGUUUCAGCAUAUGUUGGCCUCCUUGAAGUACGCUGAUGUGCAUGUCGUUGUGGUACUUGAGUUCGAAGAUGAGCUUCCUUCCUUCGCCGCCGAACAUCUCCUUCCUCCUUAGAUGUAUCUUCUUCAUGGGUAGCAGGAGGAACACCUUUCCUUAUUAUCUCAACCAACUGAUCGAAUCUCUAGUUAAGAUCCUCACUAGCGCUUGGAUUUGUUGUUCUGCAGCAUCCGCUCUCUUUCCCAAAUCCUCCAUUGCUUGCUGUAGCUCCCUCUCAAUGAGGAAACCAGCAACUAGAACAGAUCAGCAGGGCUCUGAUACCACCUGAUGCAGCACAAGGUUUUGGAGGAACAACUCCACCUUGCUGCUACAAUAUAGACAGCACAAAUGUUAAAGGAACCACUUCAACAUGCUGUGCUAGAUAUCGCUCUAGGGGCGAGGAACUGCCAAGAGUUUAAUCCAAACUCUUAACACACAACAUCUAAGACAAAGAACAUAAAUUGCUCGUUAUUGAUAGAUAGUGGUCCCUAGUCCCCCAAGAUAGAGGUGUGGACCUCUAUUUAUCAUGAGCCUGCACUAAUUAGCUCUACUUAUAACUAGAACCUUCUAGGUAACACUACUCAAAGUUAGGAAAAUAUCCUAGUUAAAACUUAUAGUAGAACACUCUAGAAACUACCACACACCUAUGAUUAAAAGAUAAGUUAUUUAGAAUAUAGUAGAAGUGUGUAGAAGCAUUGAGAGAUCUGACUUCUACUUUUAUUUUAUUUUGGUUUUUUCUAUUGUCCCUCAUCAAUAUACCGUUGGGCCACUUAUGGUGGGCUUUUAUUUGCACUUGGAUUUAAAAAAUAUUAUUUUAUAUCUUAAAAUAUUGGACAGCAAACCACGUGGUCACCAACGAUCCUCAUCCUGGCACACGGGAUUUGCCCGAACGACUGCAAGGACAGAAACACAUGGGCACCAACACCAAGAUCAGUCGCUAGAAUAGAACAGCAUGGAACUCACGGAAAAUGAGUCGGGGACUUUGAGUAUUAAUCGGCCGGGAUCACGUACGUUUCGGACGAGAUGCUCGGGGCUCUUGUGAAUUCGGGAAUUGCUUGUCGGUAUUUUGGGCUUAUAGCUGAGUGGCUGACUUCGACUUUUGGAGAUCUAAUAGAUAGUCGGCUAUAUGUGAAAAGGUCGACCGUUCACUGUAAACCUAUCAGCUAUUUAUAAUCCCUGUCAGAAAAAAUAGAUUUGUAGUAGUGAUAGUUUUUAAGUUAAUUUUGACUAGAAAAAUGAAAUAGAGUUUGUACCGAAAAAGUUGGCUCUUUUCCAAGACUAAAGUUUUUAUCAUGACCAAAUUUUUGUAGGGUUUGGUAUGAUGCAUUGUUGCCAAAAUAUACUAUGCCAACUUUUUGAUCAAGACCACAAAUUUAGCCUUUAUUUAGAUGAUUGCCAACAAUUUGGUAUGGGAAUGCCUCUUAGCCAGAGCUAGUUCAAAUUGUUGACCAAAGUUGGAAACUUAUGGUCAAGAGAAUUUGUGGGUUGUUUUUUGUCUAAACAGAUUUUUGGAAAGGAAAACUUGGGCUCAACAAACACAACCUUAAAACCUGGAUCCAACAUUGUCAAAUGCAGCCACCAAAUAUCGUUUCCUAGUGCAAAAAAGAAGCUAGUUUCCACAAAGCUAAUAUGCUAUAUGAAGGUGAGCCCCCAUGUCUUAAUCACUUGCUUUUUGGAUGCCCGAGACCUCUGAAGGUCUGGCACUUUCUGGGAUUAGACGACGUUAUAGAACAUGCUGUGCAAGUUGAUCAAGCAGGAAAAGUCGUCUUGGAAUUUGUGAGAUCAAGAUAGGCAAUCAGAGGGGGGGGGGUGAAUGAUUGCGCGGAAGCAAAUUAAAACUUUUUCCGAAAGUUCAAACCCUAAAUCACCUUUCUCACCGUGAUAAUAAAAUAGCCGUAACUUUUGAUUGGAUGAACCAAAAAAUAUGUAUGAGUAUCCAAAAGAAAGGUAUUGAAAUUAUCUAAUCAGCACAACAAGAAUAAACUCAAUUGGACUUACCAAUCAAAAGAUAUGAUCAAAUCAGUAACAGCUGAUAGAAAGUUACGAGAAUUAAUCUAUAAUCGAUUUCGAGGAAUAACAAGAAAGAUGAAAUAAUCGCGAUCUUCCUUGAUCUCGUGGUAAACCUGCAGAAAAGUAUUAUGAACUCGUGAUAAACCUGCAGCAAAGUGUUAGAAAGAUCUAACACGAAGAAUCCACGAAGAUCCGAGAAGAACAGAGAUGACACCGCCAACAAAUCUCUUUAUUGCGACGAUGUCGAUCGAUUAGAAAAGAUGCAACCAUGCAUCCAAAAACUCUCUAAGAAUUAAUCUAGAUUCAAAGCUCUGAGUGCCCUCACGUUCUUGCUAAAAGCCUAACUAGGACGCCCGCUAUUUAUAAGGGAAAAUUCGUGACCCUAAACCGAAUCCGAAUCCAACACGAACUCCUCUGUCCCGGUCGGUAUUUUGCCCGUGGGGCCCGCAUACGACCUCGGAUUGAGAUGACUUCAAAAUCAAAGUUGUUCGUCUCGACGACGCGCACAAGUUUCAUGUGGACCACUUUUCCAUCUGAUGCCAUCUUUAUGACGCUACUGUUUAAUCUUUAAACAACUCUCAUCCAGCCACGGCUGGACCUACAUAUCUUCACGUCGAUGCCACUCCAUGCCAUCAACUCUUCUUGUGAUGUCUUUAAAACUCGACCAUCACGUAUCGAAUAUCUCCAAUACCGUACAUAUCCGGUAUAAACAACGUACAACAAACCGGUGCCCUUCCGGAUCAUCAUAGCCUUCACUUCCAUUGUUCUUUCGCAUGAACGUCCUGCAUGACCUUGAUCCUCGACCUCAGCUUCUCCCAAGCUUCGUCCCUCGAUCCCGUCAUCGACCACGUUCCUCUAGCUCCGGCAACACCUGAAAGCGAACACACAAAUAACCAGUACGAGCACAAGUCCACGACUUGACUUAGGGUAAGUUCCACACAACUCACGCCAUGUUUUCACAUAAGAAACUAAUGGAUCAACACACCAGUAGCAAAGCACUAAGUCCAAACAAGAUACAUCUCAUCACAUAAGUAUCCAUAUUACCCAAAGUAUCCACAUCAAUGUUUCAUCUAAAACACUUGCCAAUGUUACACAUCACCUAUGAUUUCACAGAAUUUCUCAUUGAAUCACAUUAAUGUGAUGAAAGAAAAGCCCCUUUGAUUGGGACUACCGCUUGGUCUUUGGUGGGAGAGAAGGAAAGCAGUGCGGGGAGAACCAGUGCAAAUCCCUAGCCAAUCCGCCAUUGCAAUCCAGGUGGCAACGGAAAAUUUCGUAAGAGACAGAGGCAAGAAGGCAAGCAUCCGGCGACAUGGCUGGGAAAAGCCUCCUAGAGACAUCGUUAAACUUAAUGUGGAUGCUGCUUUUGAUCCCAAUUCUCUGGAUGGUACGAUUGGUUCAGCCCUUCGUGAUCAUGAUGGGUUGUUUAUUGCCGCUGCGAAUCAGAGGAUUGAACGAUGUCCUAACGUCUCGAUACGUUGCGGAAGCUAUGUCACUGUAUUCUUUAUAACUCGGGUACCACGGAGGUGAUCAAAGUGAUGAUCAAGGGGGACAAUCGGCAGUAUUGGAGCUGCAAUGUAUGAUGACUUCUUCUUUAUUAUCAAAUUACUAUGUCAAGAUUUCUUUUGCUCAUUGUCCUCAGGAAUCCAAUGACGGUACGCAUGAAUUAGCGAGAUUAACUAAAUUCUCUCCUCCUGGAGUGUGGCUCCUUGAUCCACCUUCUAGUAUAGCAGAUCAACUUUUGAAUGAUGUAAUUAUUAUUGCCAAUGAACAAAGAGGUGUUUUACCGGUAAAAAAAGCUUAUAUGCUAUAGUGGGCAAGUAUGAGUAUUCAUAUAUUAAAUGCAUGAGUGUGUUUUCACCCUUGCAUUUAAUGCUAACAAAUCACGUCGAUCAGAAGUUUUCGAGAGCUGGCUAUUUUAGCGCCGGCUUCUCCGGUAGUUAAGAAAAGCUAUAGCGCAGCUACAUGCACCGGCACUAAGUCAUUUAGUGGUUUAGUUAAAAUCAUAAAAUUAAAAAAAUAUCACCCAGUCUGGCAUAAUAUAUCAUGUACAGUGACACCAUUGCAAAUGCCAAUCGGUAGUAGCUAUCUUUUUAAAAAGAGAAGAUAAACAUGAAAUGGAAGCUAGGAUUCUCAACGUGAUUUUGGAAUGAUAAAAGAGGGAAUGAGUUUGGAGGAAGAUGUACUUGACGAUUGCCUUGUUCUCAAAAAGGCUGUGUCGAUCUCAUUUCAACAGUGUCCUCGUGAAGCUAAUUAAGUAGCUCAUGAUUUUGUUUUACCACAAGUAGCUCAUGAAUUAGCGCAUAAUGCCAGCCAGCCAUGACAGUGGAAAUAAACGGUGGAGAGAAUAAAGUAGGUUGUUUGGUUGACUUGUUGAUUUUUUUGAAGAACGUAGAGUUGUUACCUAGACGAGAUUAGAGGACUGAAAAACGAUCAAACGGCUGCAUGCUAAUCGAAGCCGCGCAUACAACAAUCAACGCUAGAUAUCAUUUCCGGAUAUACAUGUUUCUAGAUAGUACAUACGGACUAGUACAAGGCCAAGCCCCAGCCUGUAAGUCUUCCACACAACACGUGUGAAUUGUGAUCUAGUUUCUUGCCUCGCUCGACAUGGCUCCGCCGGAGAUGUGCCGAGGUAGCGCAAUGACUGAGUAUGAGACGACGUCUUUCUUGAUGGGCCGGAAGAGGUCGGAGGCAUCAUUGCGAAGGCCGCCACGAAGGAAGACGGUACACCAUGCAGUGGCGCAACUGCAGAAGGUGUUCCUGGUCACGAACCGGUUCCCGCUCUUCUCCAUUGUGCCAAUUGUCGUUACUGCUGAGUACAUCCACCUCAGUCGGUUACGUAUGUGAUUGAUUUGUGCCGUACAAUAUCAAUUUAGGGUGGUGUUUUCUAAGACUUAAAUAAAAUAUAGCAACAUAUUGUUGCUAGGGCAUAUCGAUCUCCUCAAUCUUGAUGAGGGCAUAUGCACUAGAUCUAUUUUUUAUUUAUCAAUGUUAAAAAAUAUAGAAUAGAUCGAUCGGCAAUAGUUUGGUCAUUCGUGUAAUACAUUAGCUAGCGAGUAAACAACAACAUACACGUUGGCAUGGGAGAAUUCUUUGAUUUGAUCAACAAGACAUGCAGUCUAUAGAAAUUGAUGCACUUUGUGCGAACCAUAUAUGUCCAGAGCAACCUUUAAGAAUCGACUAGAGUGGCAUCUUUGAUUGCAUUUUUAAGUUAUCCAUGACUGUUCGUUGAAUUUCUUUGAAACUAGCAAUGUUUUAGUUUUUUUAAUUAUUUUGUGUACGAUGUGUCGAAUGGAGUAUGAAAACUUGCCUCCUGUGCCAGUUUAUCAAGCUCAGAAAACACAUCCAAUGGUCAUAUCCCCGUAAUAGAUUUCAUUGUAACAACUUUCAUUUUUUUUCAUGCUUGUGUAAUUUUAUACCUUUGUGGUUGUGAUACUGUGUUUUUUGGUGUGGCGGUACACCUCAUUCGGUGAAACACCCCGAUUUGUAGUUGUAUAAAACCAUUGGAUGCAUGCAAGUGUCAUCAUUCUAAACCUCCUACUACAAUAUUCUCUAAAUACUCUACAUAAAUAUCCUAGUAUAGAUAUUUCUUAUCACUCCAUGAAGAUAUUCUUCUAUUGUCUUUCAUAGUAAAUAUCAUCUUGAUCAUGCCGCCGUGGUCUUGUUCUCUGCCUUUAUCGCCAUCGAGGUCACCCAUCCACCCAAAAAGCGGCGUCACUUGUUAGGGUUCGGGAGGUAGCAUAGAAGACAUAGGGACUAAGAACGAGUGACGAAAAGCAGAAAAGCGAUGCCCAAGUUUACCAUUCUAAUGGGUACCGACAAGUUGCCCCAGGCCUGCGUUGUGUUGGUCAAACGACUCACAUCACCCGGUAAGCUGUGGAGAUACACACUGAGGACCGGUGGUAAAGAACUUAAAAAAGAAUUAUUAACCAAACAUGGGUUUUCAAAAUUCAGGGACUAAGAAUUGACACCUUUGAAAUUGAAUUAGGAUAUCCAGUAUAUUUUAGUCUUUUUAUACUCAACUGGAGAAAACGUUGCACCAUGUUACUUUCGUGUGGUCAAGGUCAAGGUCCUGGUCCUUUGGUGGAAAUGUUCGGUUGCUUUUAUAAUAUACGUAACACAACUAUUUGUUUGGUUGUACUUGACCUGCUGGUUAGUACCUCAUGGCCACUAGUUGAGGUUGUGAGUUCGACCCUUGGGUGUCUACUUCUUUGUUGGGUCCCUUUUUCUUCAUUUGAAUCUUUUUCCUUUUCUUUAUUUACACGGGAUAUUUAUUUAUUUUUGUCUCUUUUGAUUUUUCUUAUUUUUUCUUACUUGCAGUUCAAAUUUGAAGAAUUGGAUUUAUUUCUUGGUUGACUCUUUAGCCGUUCGAUGUGACACAAAGAUUUAUUGCACCGGACGGCUAAAAUUACACGUGAAAUUUUAUGUGAAAAUUUGGAUUUUGAAAUGGGCAAUUGGAUAUUUCACCUUCGGACGGCUAAAAUUGCACAUGUUUUUCUGUGUGCAAAUUUGGAUUUUGAAAUACACAAUUGGAUAUUGAACCUUUGGACGACUAAAAUUGCACGUGAAAUUUCGUGAGAAAAUUUGGAUUUUGAAAUGUACAAUUCGAUAUUGCACCAUUGGACGGCUAAAGUUGCACGUGAAACUUUGUGUGCAAAUUUGGAUUUUGAAAUGUGUAAUUGGAUAUUGCACCUUCAGACGGCUAAAAUUGCACAUUUUUUGUGUGCAAAUUUGGAUUUUGAACGUGCAAUUGGAUAUUGCACCUUUAGACGGCUGAAAUUUCUGUGCAAUUUUUAGAAUCGCGUGCAGAAUUUCACGUGCAAAUUUUAGAAUCGCGCACAAAAUUUUACGUGCAAUUAGAAACACGUAUAAAAUUUCAUGUGCAAUUUUCAGAAUCACGCAUAAUUGUUAAAAAAUCGUGCAUAAAUUUUCACGUGCAAUUUUUAAAUUUUAGUAAUCUAAAACAUGUUGUCACAAUGAAUUCAACAAGAAAACCACAAAAAAAACUAGGUUCCUUGCAUGUACGAAUCGGAAAAUGUGGCGUUGUUAAGCCGGCAGGCUUAGGCGCAGUCCCGAAAUAAUUUCCGUUUACCCUUUACCAGCAAAUACUACUCCUUUGGUGUUGUAGUAUAUAGAUUCUAGCCCUUAGUGUUGGAUGUGAUCCAAAUUCCAGGGGGCCGAAGUUCCGGCCCAACUUCCGGUCGAACCUCCGGUUGCUCUCUGUUACUUUUCGGGAAAAUGCGGAACUUGCUGCGGAACUUCCGAAUAUUCAAGAAUUACCGGAACUUCCGGCCUCCAACCGGAACUUCUGGUGUGCCCGUUACGGAUCUGUUUUGCCCUAAUGCUCCUGCUAUAUAUACCCCUUGUAAGCCGCCGUUUUGGGUAAGGUUCUCACGAGUUGCAUCUGUAGAACCUUCCUGGCGUUCUAAACACUCCCCAUAUAGUGAGAUUUCGUUGACUGGCACCCGUGGUUUUUCCCUCACGUUGUUUGAGAGGAUUUUCCACGUUAAAUCUGUGUGUCCUUGUGCUGUGAUUUCUUCUUAGUUAUUCGUUCUUGCUUGUCCGGUUCAUAAGACUUAGAUUUGUUCAAGAGCUUAAUGGAUGGCUUGUCAUUUGUCCCUACCAGUCCAAUCUGUUUUAGAGAACAAAAUGCCAACUUGGAAACCCGGUGCAAAAAUGCUGGUCAGUUCGAAGAAAGAGAUAAUUUCAUAUUUGCCAUUGAAAAUUUGCUCAUAUGCCCAAAUGCCACUCAAAAUUUGCCAUUUUCAAAUAUGCCACUCAAAUUUUGCAUGGGGUACAAAUAUGCCACUACCGUUAGUUGACCGCUAGUUGACCGUUAAGAAAGAGAUGAAAAGACAAUUUUGUCCUAGGUAGUAUGUUGAUUUUCCCUCUACAACAAAGCACUCGUUUAGAGAACUUAUAAUUUCAGGUUUUUAAGAUGCAGUAACACAACAUUUAGGAGUAAGUUUUAGCAAUAAUGAUUUUGGCAUGAAAACUGAAAAUUUGAGCAGCACUUCCAUUGAUUUUACCUAACAUCACAAAAUUCAUAAUAGCUUCAGAAGAAUAAUAUACUAAAACUCAUCAUACUUUUAGCAUACGUGCUCGCAAGCAUUCCAACAACGUAAUGUUCAAAAGAUAAUAGUCCGGUGACUAGGAGCAUUUAGGUCAAUAUGAAAAACUGACAAUUGACUUAACGGUCAACUAACGGCAGUGACAUAUUCGUACCCCAUAUAAAAUUUAAAUGGCAUAUUUGAAAUAGUCAAAUUUUAAGUGACUUUUGGGCAUAUGGAUAAAUUUUCAGUGGCAAAUAUGGAAUUCUCUCUCGAAGAAACGUACAGAACACACGCGUAUACUCACGAUCGGACUGUGCAAUCGACUGAGACAUGGACGUUCGCAGAUGGCGUUCAGACUUCAGUAACUUAAUUAUUUUCAGAGUUCCGAACAACGAUACAUACAAGCAAGCAAACCACCGAAUUACACGAUCGUGCAAUCCUUGUGAUACACAAGUUCAUCACCUUAUUCGUAGCAAGUGGCAAGCAAACGAAAGCACAACACAACACUCAACACACACGAGUGGACACGACCCGCUCAAUGCAAAAGCUCGAUCUCCUCCGGAACAAUCAUGCCUUCGGUGGAACCAUGCUGGCGCCGAGCUUCUGCACGGACGGCCUCGCCAUGAUCCUCUCCCACCACGCCUUGACGUGCGGGUACGAGUCAAACAGGGCGGCGUGCGGCGUCCCCAUGAAGUAGAAGGUGUAGGGGAAAUGGUUGAGGUCCGCGAAGCUGAUGAAGUCCCCCGCCAGGUACUUGUGCUUGGAGAGGUGCGCCUCGUAGACCUCGAGCACCUUCUUCAGCUUCUCCAGGCUCUCGUCCACGACCUUCUGGUUGGUCGGGAUGCCGCGCAUCAUCGGGUUGAUGAGGCACUCGUACACGAUGGGCGACAGGGCUGGGUUGUAGGUGUGUGCGUCGACUUCGGUCCAGACGUCCACCAUCGCCGCUUCUUUCAGGUUGCCCUCGCGAAGCAGGUCGACUUUGUCCGUCUUGUAUUUGCGGAGCACGUACUUCGAAAUUGCGCGUGACUCUGUAAACACAACAAUGGACAGAGAUCUGAGAGGAUAUUCGAGACACCGAGCAAAUGAGGAGUAUGAUCCAAUUGUUCGUUAUAAUGUGAGAUCCAUCUGCUCUAGCCUCCCAACCAAACUGCCCAUCAGGGGAGCACAUUGAUUACUUUGUGGAAAAAAGUAAUCGAGGGGAAGAAACAGAGCUAGCCUCUCAGUGGAGUUUUUUCUUUUUUUUGAAGAAAGUGGAGUAAAUUUUGAGAACCAGAAAGCAUAUGCAAAUUAAUCAUACCGAAGAGAAGCAGAUCCCCAUCCUGGAAUGCAGGGAUUUGGCCGAACGGCUGCAAAGGAAAGUAUCAAAGAAAGAUGGGCACCAAGAUCAGUUGCUAGAAUAAAUAGAAUAGCCCAGGAACUCAUCAAGGAAACUGAAUCAGAGAAUUUGAGUAGUAGUCAAUCGGGGCAUCACGUACGUUUCUGACGAGAUGCUCGGGGCUCUUGUGCUCCUGUGCCUGGAAGUCGAUGUUGACGACCUCGUACUCAGCGCCUACCUCCUCCAGGCACACCAGAACGCGAGCCACGUUGGUGGACAUCGCCGGCCCGAACACCUUCACCGGCGCCAUUUUUCUGCAGGCGAGAGAGACAGACAGACCAGGGAGUGUGUGUAUGAAUAGCUAGCUGCGUACGAGCGGUGUGGAGCUUAAUGGCACCAAACGCCGUCCCAUUUUAUACGGCAUCGGGUGAUGGGAGACGGGGAGGUGUGGACGUGACGACUGACGUGUGGUGGUCUCUGGAACAACCAAGAUGGACCCGUAUGGGGCGAGGUUGUGCUGUCAUUGAGUGCGUGUCGUAUGCGUGGCGUCACCCGUGAGGUAAGUGUUUUGCUUACAUCCGGAUCUGAGAAUUCAGCCUUUCCCUUUGAUCUGAAUACACUUUUGAGGCUCAAAAAGGAAAGGAAGGAAAAAAAAAAGACUUUGCCUUGUCGGUGUUACAGGCAAAGGGUUUUACUUGAUUUUUAAAGUAAAAUGACUAAAUCUCAUCUGAACGGUUGGAUUAUUAUUUGAACUUCAUCCUACUAUCUUUUUUUUCGUUCUUACGAAUCUUAAAGCACAAACCAUAUCUAAUGGCUAAAAAUUAACUUAUCUUUAAUUAAAAAUCAGGCAACUUAGAUAUAGCAAAACCGUUUAACUAAAUUUCAAUCAAUUGAAUUUGAGCGUAUUAGAUCUAAAAUGAAAAGUGGAGUUUAGCCAAAAUAAGUUAUUGUAAAAUCUAGUAUACCUGGUGGCGUAGAAUUCUCGGAUCCAUGUUGUCUCGGACGCGUUUUGUUGUGUAGAUACAUACAUACGUAUCUAGACAAGUUAUUUGGAUCGAAGGGAAUAUUAGAUUUCUCAUUAUAUUAGCUACUUUACAUAUAUUGAGCCGGUGUCUUUCUAUGUGUCUUAAGGGCAACUCUAGCAGGGCGACCCAAAUUCAGUCUGUUUGGGUCGCGGACCGAACAGAUCUGUGCAGUUGUUCGGCACCCGUCCGUGACCGGACAGAUCUGUACCAAUUGUGUGGCACCCGUCCGUUUGGAUCUGCCAGUGCCCCCCAACGCAGCCACCCAUUUGGUCCCGGUUUAUUAGUCAUAGGCAUGCGGGCUAGGGGAGGAAAAAUGAGCAAAGGGAGGACAAACGCAAGACAAAGAUGCUGCCGACCCAACCCAAACCUGGAGCAAAUUUGGGUUGGAAAUGGGUCGUGACGGACCGAAAAGCGGACGGUGGCCGAAAUGGGUCGCCCCACUGGAGGGCGCGUUUUGCCCGUUUUGGUCCGAACGGAUUGGUCCACCGCAAAUGGGUCGCGUGGCUUGAGUUGCCCUAAGGACCUCGUUUCAGCUCCUGUGUAAAGCAGAAUUGUCAUUUCUUUCUCGUUUAUCAAGUGUGCUUUAUUUACAUACAUGAGGGAUGAUAUAUACUGUAGUAUGUUCAUCUCCUUACGAUAUUGUCGUUGGAAGAUCUCAUAUGCUUUUUGUGAUGGGAUAUGGAAUGCAUUGGAUCUGUGCGCAAUUUUCUUCACCGGUUAACAAAAUAUGUCAAAGGAAAAUCGUGUUUCCAUACUGUUUUUAGGACAUGGAAAUUAAUAUAUAGGAGUUAGUGGAUACUUCUUGUUCACCAACAUUUUCCUUUCUUUGGGAUUCUAAGGUAAAGUAAAGAUUUUCAAAGUGCUCAACAGUCAUAAAUGUGGUUUUGGUGCUUAUAGAAAAGGCCUUACAUUUAUGUUAUAGUGGCCUCCUCGGAUUUGUUUCAUUGGACACAAUUUUGAAGUAGAAAUAUAAGCAUUGUGCUAUAUUCGCAAUGCAUUAUGCGAUUGCAUACUUAGUUUGCUUGAAUUUAUGCAGUUGAGUAAAAAAGGACUUCAGACUGCUUAGAUUAUUGUUAUUUCUUUUCAUCCCCAGAUAUUCUUUUGCUGAAUUUCUGUUCCAAAACAUAUUUUUUCUUAAGCAUCACACUUAUAGCAGAUAAAUUUACAUUGCAAAUGAAUAUAUGCCUUGAAUUGCUAACAAUGUUGGCAUUAUGGCAAUAAGAUGGACCGGAAACACCUUUUGAGAUGCUUUUAGUUUAUGAGCACCCAAGCAGGUGCAAAAGGUUCUUCUUGCCAUGCAUGUGAGAAAGUCCCUUGAUUUCAAAGCAACACAUUGGCGUACUUUUAUUCAGUUUUUUUUUUUGGCAGCCGGAGAGAAUUUAGAAGCUUGGCAUGCCAUUCCGUUGCAUUUGGUGAGACCGAAGAGGAUUUCUUCCCAUAGUUCCCUGGGCCGGUGCAUUCAUAAGAGAACAGUUGAGAGAGGUUGGAAGAGAGAUGCAUGAUUAACCAAAUGAAUAUAUUGGGACACAUGUCUUAAUCACGUGUGUGGAGAAUAUAGUGGUGAUUAAUUUUAUACCAGUAAUAUGUGAAGAUAUUGAGGUUCUAAAUUAUGUUUGGCAAAUGUGGCAAAUGUUACUCCUUCCGUUUCAUAAUUCUUGUCGAAAUAUUACGUGUAUCUAGACGUUUUUUAGAAAUAGAUACAUUCAUGUUUGAGCAAAUUUGAGACAAGAAUUAUAAAACGAGGGGAGUACCAUCUGUCUAUUGAAGAUGACGUCAUUGUCCAAGAAGAGCACUGCUAUAUGUACGACAAAUUCACGUACGAUUCUCGUCCGACGCAAGGCAUGAACCAUCCAUCAAAUGAUCUUGUGGUUGAUAUCACAUCGUACGACCGUCGGACACACUGGUUCGUCCGGAGCACUUCCGGUGCGAGAACACCGUGGGAGUUGAAUGGUUGAUACAAUGAUGACUGUUUAGUAUUAUUAUACUGUGAUAGGUCAUUUCAACCGAAUAAAAUUGUCAUGCCGCCAGUACAUUAAUCAUGUAUUGUUUGGGGUAGAAAAAUAGGAUUUCUAUUUUUAGAAUUCCUCCUAAUGAUUUUCCUAGCUUAGGAAAUACGUGGGUGCAAUUCCACUGGGAUUAUCUCAUUUUUUAUAAAUAUAGUUAUCAAAACCCCUGAAAUGAUACUAUUGGGUGAAUAAAAAUGCCUUUACUGUUUCGAUUUUAUUUGAGUGGUAUACCUAGGAAUAGUUUCUCUUUGAGAAAUUAGUUCAGAAUUUAUUGGAGUAUAUGCCUAAUUAUACUCAGAAUUAGUUCUAUGGAUCAUACGCUGCAAGAUAUGUUUUACUUAUCAAAAUGAAUGUGAAUUUAAGAUCAAGAUUAUAAGUUCUAGUUUACUUGUGGUGGUUUAUAGAGAAAAUAUCAUAUCUAUACAAUUAAGAGAUUAUAAGUUGUUACAUUGCAUAAUUUACUUGUGGUGGUUUAUGGAGAAAAUAUUAUAUCCAUAUUGUUCGAUCAGCUUCUUUUCUUCUUAGAGCUACCGUACUUCAUAUUUUCCAUCUAAUUUGUUAGUAAAUAUGACUUACUCAUCUGCCCUUUUGCAAUCCGCCGUUUUCUAAUUUAGAAUUGCAGUAUUGGUGUCUACAAAUGGAGGUAAACAUAUCAUUUUGAAUCUUUUUACAUGUAUACGUACAUUUAAUCUCCGGUUGUUUACCUCCAUUUGUAGACACCAAUACUGCAAUUCUAAAUUCCUCCAUAUUAUAUGCAAUUUAGAAAUAACUGGAGUAAUUACUUUUCUGCUAACCAAAUUCCUGUUAGAAUUCUUGGGUGCCGUACGUAAUAACAGUCACCAGCACGUGAGGCCAAACCCAACGCGUCAGCGACUGUUACCGCACCGGUCGUGCAUCACCGAAGCAGCGUUCCGAACUUCUGACCUUUUCUUUCUUUGGUUUAUGAUCAAACCAGUUCUUUCUGCUUUCAUACCUCCUGACUUUUUCUUUCUUUUUAAGAUCAAACCAUUCUUCCUUCUUCCGUAACUAACAAUAACGAUGGCACGUUAUUGAAAUACGACAUUGACUUUUUUUUCUAGAAUACACCGAACCGGAUGUAUCACCAUUAAAGAAAAAGACUUCGGAGCAGUUUAGUACAACCCGAAACGAAUCGGGCAAAUCUCACGUGAAUUACCCCACACCGGUCCACUCUACCAUUACACUCUCACUACAAGGGAAGAAGCUAAAUGACUCCAUCAACAAACCCGCAAUCUUCAAUGCAUUUCCUUCAAUAUGGAUUGGCCGCAUGAUCUUGUCAACUGAAGGUGUCUCAUCAUCGAGCACCACGGCGUUCCUAUACUUUCAAAUCGGAGUAAAAUGCACACGCAGUCCCUUAACUUGAGGAGAAUGUGCAAGUACGUCCUUGAACUCACGUUUUGAGCGAAAUGAGGAACUAAAAUAUAUUAAGUGUUUUAUACAUCUAUACGCGCGCGAAGGGGUAACUUGUAAUCCGGACCGUCAAUUAACCAACGGCUGAGAUCUGACUGUGUUUUAUCUCUCUGGCAGCCGGGGCCCGCAUGUCAGGGUCUUCUCCCACCUCUAAGCACAUCUGCUCUGCCUCCCUCUUCUCCCCUUCUCCCCAAGCGGCCAAGCCUCCCCCUUCUCUGUUCUGCUCCGGCAGGAAGUGCCCCGCGCCCGCAAGCUCACUCCCAAGCACCUCCGCCCCGUGGAGCGCCCGCGACGCGCGCCUCCGCUACGGCCGCUCGCCUCCUGGUGCUCCCUGUUGGCGAAGCGCUGUCGGUCGUGGGGUGUCCCCGCGGCGAGCGCGUAGGCGCGGCCUUGCUGGUCGUAGAUCGCGGGCGUCUCCAUGAGGUGGAUGAGCUGGGCCAGCUCGGCGCGGAGCGAGCCGAGCAUCUUCUCGAAGCCGUGCAGCAUGAGGUCGUCCUCCACCGCGUUCUGCGCCUCCACGAGCCUGUAGCGCCCCGACUAGGUCGCCCUUGUCCGCCAUGGCCAUCGCCUCCCUGAUGGCGUCGGCAUACCGGCGCCGGGCGAGUUCGUCCUCCACCCAGCCCGAAUCUCCUCGGGUCGCUGCUUUAGGAGCGAGGAGUUGCAGGCAGAUCUCAAACAACCCCAAUCGGCCCGACGGCGAGGAUGGUGGCAGGCGGCGGCGGCGCGGGAAGGGACCGGCGCGGGCGCGAGGAUGGCGGCGGGCGGCGGCGGCGAGCGGCCAGGGGCGCGGGCUGGUCGAUGCGAAGGCCUGCCAUGGCUGCUGUGAGCCUUGUGUGGUUUGAGGAGGAGGACGACCCUGACAGGUGGGCCCCGCCUGUCAGAGGGAGAGAGGGAAGAGAGAACACAGGCAGAUCUCAGCCGCUGGUUAAUUGACAGUCCGGAUUAGAAAGUUACCCUCUCCGCCACUGUCAACAGAUGAGGAUUCCUGAGUCCUGACCGCCAUAACUUGGGGAGCAAGGUCUCUUUGCCUGCGGCCAUGCAACCAUGGAUCCGUCCAGAAGUUAGCACUCUCACCAUUACCCAAGACCACCUUUGUUGCUGCCUCAAAGAGCUCCCUGGAUUCUUUCGAGACCUGAAGCCCCAAGUCAUGCCAUGGCCUAUCCGAAUCAGUCCACUGAAGCCAACACAAACGAGCUCUUAGGGCCGUGUUGAGCAGUCUUAAAUUUGGGAUCCCCAAGCCACCAAGUCUUUUCGGCAAGCAAACCGAAUUCCACGCCACUAAGACAAUGUCCAACCUUCACAUCUUUCUUGCCCUUCCAGAGAAAACCACGGCAGAUUUUCUCAAUGGCAUCCACCGUCUUAACCGGCAAGUCGAGUGAUAUCAUGCCGUAGACCGGGAGGGCACACAAGGUCGAUUUGAUCAAUGUAAGUCGCCCGCCCGAAGAGAGAAGCGGCGCUCGCCAGCCCUGAAGCUUAUUCUCCACUUUAUCCACCACUGACUGUAGUUGCGCCGCUGAUGCUUUACGAAGGCCCAGAGGGAGGCCCAGGUAAACACAGGCAGAGCCCAUCACCGCACACUGGAGUUCAUCCGCCACCACACAGCAUGGAAGUCGUCUCUUUUCCUUGCUCGGGCAGGCUCAUGGAAGUCGUGUCUAAUGGACUGCUUGGGACUAGCUAGGUUUGGAUGUCUGAGAGCUCUUAAUACAGAUCAAAGAUCUGAUAAUACAAAACUGCUCUUUGAAAUAGCAAUGCUAGGGCCUAAUUAAUUUGCAAAGCUCUGACUAGGUUAACAAACCCAUUAAAACCUGAUCGAUCGGCACGGCAUAGCCUAAAGCAGCCAGUAACACGUACAGCACAAACUACACAAUCAUCAUGGAGUUCUUUGGUCAACCCCUCGGUUAAUCUAGCUUCUAUUUGUCUUUGGCUUGUAUGAAAAAAAAAUCUACAUUUUCGACUUAUAGAAAUCACAUGCCACAUUGGGAACUCCCGAGCUUAAAUUGUUCAGAAAACUAAGUUAUGAGAGCAAAAAAUCACUGAAAUAGCUAGUAGCCGGUAUCAUGUUUUGUGUUCAUGACUUCACAUGCACAUUUAAAAGUUUGUACAAAAGCUAGUUUGUACCUCCAAUGUAGAAGCUCAUGUAGGGCAUGACUUUUUCGAAGAGCAUCUUUCUGUGUAUCUUGCUGCUUCGGCCUGAAUUGAGCUCAAUUUUGAACAACCCAGCCUUUGUACUCAGGAAGAUGGCACCAACACCUUCUGCAAAACCAACCACACCGAGGCUUUCAGCAGGGCACGAGAGGGGAGCAACGGUUCGAGCUCAAUCAGCCUGCAGGGCACCCAGUUCUCCACCGCUCCAUUGGGACCAGGCUCCAUUGACAACAGGUGGAGCUUAUUAGAGUACGUUCCACAGGCCCGCGAACCGCAGCAUGCCGUCCUCCGCCCCCACAAGGACGUAUGCCGAGUCGAACGGCUUAAUGAUCACCGAUAGCUUAUGUUCAUCCAUGUUGUACUCCACGAUUCUGGUGAUGCACUUACAGGGGAAGUACACCAUACUUCCAAGAACAGCACUGUGCCCCGCCUCCAUAAUGGCAUUCGGUUGGUUCAGAAAGAUCACCUUGCUCCACUCACCAGUCUCUGAUGAGUAGACUGAGGCGAAUGUCCCCCGUUGCUCGUCAGAUCCCACGAAGGCCACGAGGAAAGGGCCCCCACGGCAGUCGAGGUGGUCGUAGCGGUCCUUGGCGCAGAGCAGCGCUGCAUUCCAGCUGGUUUUCUCGUCGUCCGAAUCGUCGCCGUCCUGCGGUUUCCACGUCACGUCCGAGUACCGAGGGUCGGCGUGAAUCAUCCAGCAGUCGUCGGUGAUGGGGUCGCAGACGACCAAGUCCUCCUCGGAUUUCGGGGUGUAGAAGAGGACGCGGCCGUGGCGGGAGUCGAGGACGUACCAGUGGCGGCGGUCGCGGCAUGCCGGCGGGCGGAAGGGCGCGGCGGUGGGGAGUGGGGACGAAGCGGGAGACGCCGGAGCGCGUCCCGUAGGGUCUGUUGUGGAGGAAGCCCAGCAUGGGCGGCGUCGGCCCGUGCAAGACGCGGUAGUCGCGGACGAAGGAGGCGUCGGAGAGGAGGAUGGCGCGCCAGCCCUUGCAGACGGCGGCGGCGCGGACGAGGCUCGCGGGCUCGUCCGGAGGGACGCGCAGGAAGAUCUCGCGCAUGGCGUCGUCCACAAGCGCCGGCGGUGGGCGGCGGCCUCGCUGCGUUGGGGGCGGCAGGCUCAUGGCUAGGGCGUAGGGGAACUGUGCCGGCGAUUGUGGGUCGCGCGAUUUUAUUUUUGUCCAGCAGGAAUUUGGGGCGCGUAUCAGCGCUUCCAUCAGUGGAAGUCGAAUGGAUUCGUUCAGAUCGAGAUUUUUCUCUUUUAUUGUUGAUUGACAGCGAGAUACGAGGAGUUUCAAUGUUUGGACAAAUUUGAGUUAAUAAUUUAGAAUCAAAAGGAACGAGUAGUACUUUACUCCACAUUUUAUUUUCAGUUAUCUCUCCUUCACGUAGGAUCUUUGAGUUCUGUCCGAUCGAGGGAGGCGCUUCAUUGUUAGCUCUUCAGGCUACGUAUCACCCCGUUCAGUCUUGGUUUGAUCCUCCCAAUUUCUUACUACCUGUAAUGGCUAAGGAUGUAAGCGUUUUCAAAGAGUAAUAAAGCAACUGACUUUUGUUCAAAGGAUGUAGAGUAUAUGAUUUUCGUGAAUCGUUCCAACUUCCAAAUCCUAUUUAUAUCCAUCUCUGGCUCUCUGCCCUGCGCCCUUGCCCAGCUGACUGCCGUCUCCCUCUGCCGUUCUAAUCAGAUCAAACCCAACGAAGUUUGCCGGUUCUAAUCAGCAUAUCAGAUCGAAAUCAAAUUCUCCCAAGAAAAAGUGGCAAAGUAAUCACAGGAUUACCGGUUAACAUGUGAUUUCUUAACCUAACUAUUGAGGAUUACCGCCUUGAGAAAAGAAGUAUUUAUUUGGUUCCGAAGAAAGCCAUCCAUGCUAAUAGCUUUACUGAUUUUGCCUACUGCUUAUGUAGAAUUAAAAUAGCUGCUGGGCCUUUUCACCGAUUUCGCCUCGAGGAGUUAAAAACUCCAGGACCGGCGCUGCAUAUAGGGUGUAUUUAUCUGAUGGUUCAAAUAUCCUCCUACAGUGUAAAGUCAAUCUGUAAAAUUUGUUAUGAAUUAAGGUUGCCAACAUAUUCAAUUAUUGAAGCUCAAAAAAAACAUAUUCAAUAUUGAAGCUCAAAAAAAAAAAUUCAAUUAUUGAUCAUGAGAAGAAAACAAUAUUUAUCAUUAGAAAAAUAUGGGAGCCUAAAUUAAGGUAAGGUAAUCUACCCCAAAUAAUAAAGGGAGGAACGCUUCCUUCGUCGUCGUCCGUCCGUGAAUUUUGCAAUUUGCCCCUUCAAGUUUUUGUUAAUUCAACCCGCCGUCCAAAUAAAGGACGGAACUGGGUUUGUUUUACAAGGUUUCGGCUAAACUGCAAUUUUGCGUCUCCUUCCACGGAUCUCUCCCCGACUCAUCCCUGAGUCCCCGACCCGCAUCUCGCCCUGCCUCCUGUUGGGUUGGGACCCAAGGCGUUGUCCCGCCGUGCCACGGAUCUGGGUUUUUUUGCAAGUUUGCCGCCCUCCCCGCGCUCUCUGUCCAUCUGCCGGCCCAAUAGCUGCGGCGGCGCUCUAGUUGCCACGAUGCUACUCCACCUUCUACGGCCGGGCGCUCGCCUCCGCCCCGACGCCUCGAGCCGCCCGUCCCCUCAUCCACACCGACCUCCUGCGCUUCACCGCCGCCGUUCACCCACCGGCCACCCGAAUCUAGAGCGCCACCCAUGGCCUCCUCAACCCCCGUCUCGCCUGCCGCUGCCGCCUUCUUCGGCAACCGCCGCUGCCUCCUCCUUCCCUGUUCCCUGCGUCGCCUCCCUCACAGCUGCUUGUGCCCGCGCUCAAGCUCCCGCAUCCGCUUCGCCGCCUGCCAUGCCAAUACCCUCCUCUCAUCACCCGGGGCCAGGUGCCGUCCGCUGCCGCGGCGUGCUCGUCCACCUCCUCCGCUAGCGGGUUCUCUGUAUGGCUGCUCACGCACGGGCUGCCGCUGGGCAAGGGGGCCAUCCUGAAGCGCCCAGUGCCUAGCACCGGUGGGGGCAAGGACCGGCCUCUGCACCCUUUGGACAAGGUGGCCAUCCUGCAACGCCCCGUGCCUAGCUCCGGUGGGGGAGUAAGGACCGGCCUUUGCACCCUUUGAAGAAAUCAACGAUAAGUCGGUAAUACAGUCACUGACUCAGAAUUCUCACGUUCAGGAAUAUGAAAAUUAUGGAUUCCAUGACAAAAGCAAUUGUUCCGUUAAAUUCGAUUGAAUGUCAAAUUAUCUUAUUGUCAUUUCAAUGAACGUGAAUUUUUGUGUGCAUAUGUUUAAGAGGCCGUGGCAACGCAUGGGCACUGUACUAGUUUCAUACCUAUAUGUCUUAAUUUUCGAUGCAGAGGCCGGGGUUAUUCCCUCCAUUUAAAAAAAAAAGUCAAAAAUGUCUUAAUUUUCAUUUUUCAUGGUACGAUAAUCAUAAUUUCAUUACUAUUUACCCCUUGUAGCUGUUUGAAACCCACGGGAGAAGAAAUAAAAAACCAUGCAAGAUUUUGAUGAUGAAUGUAGAGGGUAAUAAAGUGCAGGCAAGCAUAUAAAAUAUUCCAUAUAUGAGUGCAGGUUUAAAGAGACAGGUAGCUAGCUUUCGCUUCAGGUAUAUUUUCAUUUGCUGGUGAUAUUUCAGAUUUGAUUAUUUUGUUUCAAAUUUUGCUAGCUGAGAUUGUAUACUGCAAUAACAGACCUUGCGCUCUGUAUGCAGUUCCUGAUUCUUUCAAGGAUUUUUUUUUGACAAACAACCGACCGGAGUAUAUAUUUUUACGCUGGAAAAAUCAACAAUACAGGCAGAGAUAAAUAUCUACUUGUUACUUUUCUGCGAACCAAAUUCCCUUUAGAAUUCUUGGGUGCCGUAAGGCGGUUGACGAGGGAAUGAUCCUUCGAGUCCUCGACCUUCAUAUACCCGAUACAGCACAACAGGGGGUCCACUCGAAGGCCCAUCAAGUAUAUGCAGGUAGAGUCCCUCAAAGUGCGGCUCAAGCCAAGGAACAUAAUCUUAUUAUACCGGAAUGAACUGAUCUGAUUGUAACAUUUCCGAUUAUCACACCCGAGACCUAGCCGCCAAUAUAUAAGGCUAAGAGGGGGAUCAGGAAUGGCGAUCCUAUAUACACACGCCAGAUUCAUCUGUGCUCCAUAGCUUCAUAACUUCCAUGUAAUCUCAAUCAAUACAAUACACCAAAAGCAGGACGUAGGGGUAUUACCUUCCGAGGACCCUGAACCUGGGUAAACCUUGCGACUCCCCUAGUCUUUGUUAGUCGACGAAAUUGUUGGUGCAUCCCGUGCUCUUCCUCAGUCAAAAACCCUCAAGUUAGGGUAUUGCCGAGGUAGCCCCUCGUCAUUGGCUCCGACCGAGAGGAAAAAGUGCAUCAGAUCUACGAUCUUCUCAACCAUGCCGCUCUCAAUCCGCAAGAGGAGCCGAUCCGCUUCGGAUCCUUGAGUUUCUCAGCUCACCCGCCAACAUUGUGCUCGGCCUUCCGCAACUUUUGCGGUCUUCUGGAGCUGUCAUUCAGAGGUUUUGACCUCCGAGUCAGCCGCGAAGGAAUCAUCAGCUUCACAGAUCUGUCACCGACAGGACAGAUCUGCGAGUCUCUGGUGGCGUCACCAACUGAUCCUUCACCCCCGAUGUGCUCGUUGGGUGAAACAGGGCAAAUUUUGGCCAAAUUUUUUUGCACCGAGUGCGAUUCGCACCACUCGGUGUUCGCUGAAGAUUCCACUCCUUACAACGUCAAUACCUGUUCGAGUGUAGCAAUCAAUCCCGCUGAUGUAACUAUGAUCCCUUGCAUGACCUUGGCACAGGUCUUCGCAGUGGAAGUAGGCGAGAGCAGUGGAGAUGGACAACGAGCCGGCAGAACCAUCUUCGCUGAGGCACGCGCAAGAGACGUGACCAAUGAUCGUCCAACGAUCAUUCUCACGCCGGAAGAAGAAGCUCGGGUCGAGGCCGCUCUUAACGGCACCAACCCUUUGCCAGCAGACGCCACGUGCAAUGAGAUGAUGGCAUACCACCAUGCGCUAGACACUACGCAUGCUCGACUGCGAGAGGAGCAGGCGGAGCUCCAACGGCGGAGGGAGGUCGCCGACGCUUCGAGUGCUCGCAGACAGCUCUCAGCACAGAGUCGCAGUGCGUGCUCUCGGAGCACCCCCAGAUACAGAGCGCCGCGCUAUCAGUCUCGGCUGAACAAUAUCCCCGAGCGAGACCGCAUCGGCAUGACACGCAGUUUGGAUGACGAACUGAUGACGGUCAACACCCAGGGAGAGUUGCUUCCCCGGACGCCACAAGGAGCUGUGGUCGCUGCAAACACGUACCUCCUAUCCACCAUGCCAUCGGAUGAUGACCCGAAGGCAGCAAUCCACAAGCAGGUCUUGGCCGGCUUGGGCCUCAUCGGGAAUGCCCUCAUGGGCCCCAACUCGAACCAGAUGGAGCCCCGACGUCAUAGGGACGACGGCUCCCCACGACAAAACAAUCACACGACUCCUCCACAACGGGGACUGGAAGAACAGCCUCAUCGCCGCCGCAACACCCCCGUACUAGGAGAUGCUCGUGAUAUCAUUACGCAACAGAGAAUCGAUCGCGAGCGGUCAGCCCGUGCUGGCCACAUCAUAGAGGACGAAGAUGAACCUUGCGGCGCGGCCUGCUUUAGUCGUCGCGUUCGCAACUCGAAGAUGCCCGAUAAUUUUUCAGUAUCUUCGAGCGCAAUCAAGUUUGACGGUUCCCAGGAGCCGACAGCUUGGUUAGAAGAUUACCUCACAAUGGUGCGACUGAAGGGAGGAACGAAGAACACAGCCAUGAAGUGUUUACAGUUGCAGCUCAAGGGGCACGCUCGCACAUGGCUGGCUAGUCUGCCAGAAGGUGAAAUAGGCUCAUGGGACGAGUUAUACCAAGUUUUUACCUGUACAUUUCGGGCAACAUAUAAAAGGCCAGUCUCAUUGGAACAACUUCGAGCAUGCACUCAGAGGUUGAGUGAGUCCAUUCGAUCGUAUAUACAACGAUGGACGUCCCUCAAAAAUGCAGCAGAAGAGAUAUCAGACGAGAGCGCAGUCGACGCCUUUAAGCGUGGGCUGAAGCGUGUCACUUUUAAGGAAGAACUGGGACGGAGCAAGCCAUAAACGGUUGCAGAUCUGAUGGAGAUAACUUCGAGCAUGCACUCAGAGGUUGAGUGAGUCCAUUCGAUCGUAUAUACAACGAUGGACGUCCCUCAAAAAUGCAGCAGAAGAGAUAUCAGACGAGAGCGCAGUCGACGCCUUUAAGCGUGGGCUGAAGCGUGUCACUUUUAAGGAAGAACUGGGACGGAGCAAGCCAUAAACGGUUGCAGAUCUGAUGGAGAUAGCAAAUAAGUGGGCAGAUGGAGAAGAUUCAAUUCGGAAUGAGCACAAUGCACUACCAGAUGAUGAAGAAGCCGAGCGAGGACACAGUCGCAACACCAAGAGAAGAAAGAAGCGAAAGGAGCGGGAGCCCAACGCCCCCGAGUUUGUAGCAGCAGAGUUCGACCGUAAUGGUGGUGUUCGAGGUGAAGGAAAUCAUGAAGGACAUCAGGAUAGAAGUAACCGUGGUAACUACCGAGAUAGCAGCAAGAACCAGCAGUGGCAGCCCCGGAGAUUGCGGCGAGAUGGGCAACCUGCUUUGUCAUUGACACAACAGUUGUCGUCUCCCUGCCCUUUCCAUGGCACCAGGGAUGCUGAUGGAAAUAUAAGGUGCGGCCACACACUGUUCGAGUGCCGUUGUUUCUACGAGUUGCAGGACACAUGCAGCCAGUUUCAGAACUCAACGGCAAGCAGGGAUUAUCCUCGGGGGCUAGGUGAGCAAUCAACGAGGAGUAAUCCUAACACUCUGGCUCUGCCACACGCCACUCGAGCUGGCAUGAUCGCGCAUAACGCGCCACCACCCCCUCCACUGCCACCAAAUUACGCCGGAUCCGUGCAACACACGCAACCCGCGUCACGACCAUCAGAACCACCAGCCACAGCUGACGUGUAUCCAGCGCCUUUGGGAAAUAUCUGCAUGAUACAGAAAGGAAGGCCGUCCAACAGACAUCAAAAAGUUAUCACUCGACAAGUUCAUCUGGCUGUGGCAACACCACUCGCCACCCCAGAGUACCUCGACUGGUCCGAGGUCGCCAUUUCAUUCUCGCGGGCGGAUCACCCACCUCGAUUCCGAGGCCAGGACAGUCAGCACUAGUCCUCGACGCUCAGGUGGGAGGCUACGAGAUGUGCAAAGUGUUCAUAGAUGGAGGCAACGGCAUCAACAUCAUAUUUGCGGAUACACUAAGGGCAAUGAACACAUCAUUAACGAAUCUCCAAGCUACAGACACAUCUUUUCACGGAAUUGUUCCAGGAAAAACUGCACUACCAUUAGGCCGGGUUAGCCUCGACGUUGUCUUUGGCAACCCCGCCAACUUCCGCAAAUACCGGAUCGAUUUUGAUGUACUCGACUGGAAUCGCAAUACCAUGUGCUUCUGGGCCGGCCAGCACUCGCCAGAUUCAUGCCCAUCCCACAUUAUGCAUAUCUUAUGCUGAAAAUGCCUGGACCGUACGACAUAAUCACCGUCCGUGGAAGCUUUACAAGAUCGAACAAUUGUGACAGAGAUUUCCACAAACUUGUUGAAUCAUUCGGCAUGCAGAUGGAACUCGCCUCUUUGAAGGCAACGACGGACAGUGACGUACUUCCCAUGAUGAAGAAAGCGCCACCACAGAUAGAGUUCAGCACGAAGAGUGAUACAACAGAGCAUCAGGUACAUCCGACUGAUUCCAGCAAAACAGUGCUGGUGUCUUCGAGCCUUCCUCCCACAUAGGAAAGCGCGCUCGUCGAGUUCCUGCGCGAGAAUUGGAAUUUUUUUGCCUGGGUACCAUCCGACAUGCUGGGUAUUCCCAGGGAACUCGCCGAGCACCCUCUACAUGUGGACAAGCAUGCCAAGCCCAUUAGACAACCAAUGCGACGAUUUUCAGAGCCCAAGUGCAAGGCUAUUGGUGAAGAGGUCAAUCGCUUACUCGACACCCAGUUCAUCCGGGAAAUGAAACAAGCUACCUGGGUGACGAACCCCGUGCUUGUCCCGAAGAAGAACACGAAAGUUUUGCGCAUGUGCGUCGAUUUCACCUCACUGAACAAGCAUUGCCCGAAAGAUCAUUUUCCCCUGCCUCGAAUCGACUAGAUCGUCGACUCGACUGCGGGAUGUGCUCGAUUGUCAUUCCUUGAUGCAUAUUCUGGGUACAAUCAGAUUCGAUUGAAGAAGGAGGACGAAGACAAGACAGCAUUCAUAACACCUUAUGGAGUUUUCUGCUACACAACUAUGCCUUUUGGACUGAAAAACGCAGGCGCUACGUAUCAACGCUGCAUGCAAGCAUGUCUUGGGGCGCAGCUGGGCAGAAAUGUUCAAGUUUAUAUCGACGAUAUCGUUAUCAAGACAAAGAAUGAAGAUACUCUAUUAGAGGAUAUUCGAGAGACAUUCCAGAAUCUUGAGAAGUAUCGGAUCAAGCUUAACCCAACGAAAUGCGUUUUCGGAGUACCUGCAGGGCAGCUUCUGGGUUAUUUUCUUUCUGCAAGGGGAAUCGAAGCAAAUCCAGACAAGAUCAGAGCAAUAGUGACAAUGAAGGAACCAACAAACAUCCAUGCAGUACAGCAGCUUACAGGAAGAGUGGCAGCCCUCAGCCGGUUCAUUAGCAGAUUGGGAGAAAAGGCUCUGCCAAUUUACCAGCUACUCAAAAAGGGAGAAAAUUUACAUGGACACCCGAAGCCAGCAGUGCAUUCGCCGAUCUAAUGCGCAUGCUAUUGACUUCACCUGUCCUUGUAGCCCCACUUGAGAAUGAGCAGCUCCUGCUAUACCUCACCGCCACAAAUCAGGUGGUCAACACGGCCUUGGUAGUAGAAAGGGCAGAAGAAGGGAAAGCGCAGCCAGUCCAGAGGCCGAUAUACUAUGUUAGUGAAGUGUUAUCUCUCACGAAGCAACGUUAUCCACAUUAUCAGAAACUGGCAUACGGAGUAUUCAUGACGGCCCGGAAGCUGGAACACUAUUUUCAGCAGCACCCGAUCGUCGUGGUGAGUGAGGCUCCACUCGCCAACAUUCUCAAUAACCCAGAGGCAAUAGGUCGUGUCGCCCAAUGGGGAAUCGAGCUCUCGCCCAAGAAUAUCACAUACGAGCGCCGGAAAGCAAUCAAGUCGCAAGUACUGCCAGAUUUCAUCGCCGAGUGGACCGAGAUGCAGACUCCAAGCCCGCCCGACUUGUCGAGUGCCUGGACCAUGUCUUCGAUGGAUCCAAACGAGCAGAAGGCGCAGGGGCAGGAGUAAUACUGAUCUCGCCAAAAAGGGACAAGAUGCGCUAUGUCUUUCAGAUGCACUUCCGCAACGCCUCCAACAAUGAAGCUGAGUAUGAGGCCUUGUUGCAUGGCAUGCGGAUGGCAAAAGCAUGUGGCGCUACUCGUCUAAUGAUCUAUGGCGACUCUAAUUUGGUCGUGCAACAAACAAUGAAGACCCGCGACGCAGUUUCAGACACCAUGAUCACCUACCGUGAUAUGUACAACACAUUGGAGGGUAAUUUUGACGGAAGUGAGCUCGCGCAUGUCAGCCGAUCCAGUAACCAAGAGGCCGAUCCAGUAACAAAGAGGCCGAUCAUUUAGCCAACCUGGGAUCUACACGGGCAGCAGUUCCGCCUGGAGUUUUUCUGGAAAUCAUUCAUCAACGAUCCAUCAAAGAGAAGAGCACGAUUGCCUCAGUCAAAAAAUCGUCCAACUCAGAGCUUCUAACUGACUCAACACUUUCACCCGACAACCCCGUAGUCGAGCAAGCAGAAGACAGUGCAGUCGAAGUCAUGGCAAUAGAACCAACAUGGAUGAAGCCACUACUCGCAUACAUGCUCCGGCAGGAGUUGCCAGAGGAUACAACCGAAGCUAGAAGGAUUAUGUGGCGAUCGAAAGCUUUCACAGUGAUCAACGGCGAGUUGUACAAACGCAGUGUCUCUGGCAUUUUUCAGAGAUGUAUUGCACCAGAAGAAGGACAUGAUAUCCUCCUAGGUAUCCUUCAGGGCACGUGCGGGCACCAUGCCGGAAGCGAAACAAUCACCGCCAAAGCCUUCAGAGCUGGAUUCUACUGGCCCACGGCCUUACUCGACGCUCAAGCUAUCGUCAGCAAAUGCGAGGCAUGUCAGAUGUUCGCCACGAAGCCGCAUGCCCCAGCUUCUGAACUCAAGACAAUUCCCAUCGCCUGCCUUUUGCGCAAUGGGGACUCGACAUGGUAGGCCCGUUGAGGAAGUCGCGUCAUGGAGGACAUCGUUUUCUGCAAGUCGCCAUUGACAAAUUUUCAAAGUGGAUCUAGGACAUGCCAAUUGCAAGCGCCACAUCUACAACGGCUAUCCAAUUCUUCAGAUCCAUCAUUUUCCGUUUUAGCGUUCCUCACAGGAUCAUCACAGACAAUGGAAGCAACUUCAAGGCAGCCGACUUUCAAGACUUUUGCGGGCAGAUGGGGAUUCGAAUCAACUACGCUGCAGUCGCGCACCCGCAAACAAAUGGCCAGGUCGAAAAGGCCAAUGGUCUGCUCACUGAAGGCAUGCGGAAAAGGUUGAUGACACCCUUGCGGAGAGCAGCUGGUGCGUGGGUCGAAGAACUCCCCUUGGUACUCUAGAGCCUUUGCACUACACCAAAUUCUUCCACGCAGUUCACCCCUUUCUUUAUGGUGUACGGGGCAGAAGCAGUGCUACCAUCCGAGGCGAGGUAUAACGCACCUCGGGUCGCAGCAUACGCCGGACCAGACUGCACAGAAGGUAUGGAAGAUGCACUCGACGCAGCAGAUAAGGCACGCGACAUCGCCCUCGCUCGGUCAACGGUCUACCAACAGAGUCUCCUUCAGCUGAAACAGAAAAGUCAUCACAAAUUGGCAUCGCCAUGGGAGGGGCCUUACAUCAUAUCCAAAGUAAUCCCAGGCGGUGCCUACAUCCUGAAAGAUCCGGCAACCAACAUCGAUUUCGGCACGGCGUGGAACGCCACGCAGUUACGGCGUUUCUACGCUUAAAUUUCUCUACAAAUAGACUCAGUUUAUCUUUUCAUCGUUUUCAGUUUCUAUCCAGUCAUAUUAUGUUCAUCAGUAUAUCAUUGAAUAAAGACUAGUUUUCCCCUCGUACAUGAGCUGAAUUACUGCAUUAAACACCUCCGUCUCUCCAAAGACCUGAGGGAUGUAUCUAUAUAAUAUCUCUAGAGUGGGGCAACUCUAGCACCACAGUUAAAGCUCUGUGGAUGGCACUUACCCGAAAGUCAAUCAGGACUCGGGGGCUGCGCGAAGCACCCGCCAAUACAAGCAUUGUACAGAUACAUUGCAUAAACCACGAUUAGCCCUGUCCAAGCAAGGACUCAGAACCAUCAGAUCGCCGCUCUUGUCGCAGGCGACACUCAGGCGCAAGUCUGUCGCACUUUGUCACGACACAAGAUAUUCAACACCGUCAAGAAAGAUCAACUGAUAAAGGUACGUAUUCCAAAUAUUUAACUAACAAAGUUUUGGUUCCAGAACAUAACAAAGGGAGAUGAAGCACGCGCUACUCGACACCUAAUUGCAAGAAAAGACUCGGGGGCUGCUUCCCCCCACAAGUACUAAAACUCAACGACGCAGUAGAAGUCUAUAUCAUCUCGACAAGAUUGACCAGCUCUCGAGCAUGCCACUCGACGGCGUCAUAGUAAUACCCCAUGUUAAUCUCGCCGUCUUCAAAAAAUGGCACCACAUGCAAUCCCCCCAGAUCCAGGCCGGCAUAUCGAAGCCGAACAAAGGCCAGGCCAACAGUGGCGCCAGUUACAAGCUGCUCAUGUAUAUAACUCUUGAUGACAGCCGAAUCCGUGAACAAACGGACCAAACCCCAAAGGUUAUCAAGAACCGGCAUGUUCGGAAAAAGUGCCCGAUGAAUGUCAGUCAUAAUCUGGCGGCAUGAGCUCAAAGAAGCUUUGGCCCGGGCAGCCCGAUCCUAUAGAAGCGCCAACACAUACCCCCCAUCGGAGACGAACCAGAAGGAAGGAACCGUCGGCCUCGCCUGUUGAAGAGUGUUCAGGCGAUGACGAACGCGCUCGGCUUCCUCGUGAGACUCGAGGAUAAUUUCUGCAAGUACAAGACAGUCUGCUAAAGACAAGAAACAAUACAGAACGAGCAAUCAGAGCUUAUCGAAACAAGCUCCCCCAGAAGAAAUUUUUCUCGGGUGGCAGCAGCACGAGGUUUCGACUUCCACACGGCAACUUCCCCGCGGAGCGCUUCCCCGCGGAGCGCCAAGAACUGACGUUCAGCGUCCCUCACACGAUCGCGAAGGUACAUGGUCUCAUCAGAGCGACUCAUCUCGGGGAAAGCAACGAAGCAGUUGAUCUAGCCAGAUAUGUCAAUCGAUGAGUCCAAGCCCGACUAUAAAUAGUCGGCCAUGGACUCGGGGGCUACUCCCAUCGGGAGAGCUGAUCGCGCACCCGACUAAAUUUGCCUACGACAAAGGAUAUUCAAGUCCAUGCCUAACUCUGUGCAGUUAGCCAUGCACUCGGGGGCUACUCCCAUAGGGAGCGCUGUCCGCGCACCCGACGAAAUUUUCCUAUAUCAAAGUCUAUUCGAGUCCAUGCCUAACUCCGUGCAGUUAGCCACGAACUCGGGGGCUACUCCCAUCGGGAGCGCUGUCCGCGCACCCAAGGGUAACCCAAGUAGUAAAUAUGGAUAAGACGUACAACACAUGGACAUCGAUUCAUCAUAUACCAUCAAUAUAACAGAUCCAUUACAGUGGCCAUAUACAAUUUUGUUUUUUGAGUCCGUCCCCAACUACAAGGCUUGGUAUACGUGCUCCAGCGUCGAUCGACAGGAGUCGGCAAAACCCCCAAUCUGGUCAACACGAUUUUGCAUCAACGCCAAAGCUCGGCUCCUAUCCCUGUCAUACCAGAAGGACAAUCUGUUCGAGGUAUUCAGCCUGCUCAGUCCGGAGUUCACGCUCUCAAACUCUAAUUGGGGGUCAAGUUGAAGACCUGAGGCAUCCGAAUCAGUAACAGCCACAAUGCAAAGUUAAUAAUCAAACCAGACGAAGGAAGAAAUUUCUGUUACCUGCUAGUUUCUUGCACAUCAUCGACAGCUCCUUCAUCAGGAACUGUUCGCGGUCAGCGGCGGCUUUGGCUUUCGUCCGUUGCACAACCACCUCCCCCGUGACCACCCAAAGUUUUUGCUCAAGACCCUUCAGCUGGUCCCUCAAGAUCGUCGGGUCCAGAAGGGAUGCGGGGGAAGACGCCGGAGUCGCCGCGAGAGCAAGUACCGGUUGCGGUCGCGCGGGAACGACCUCAGCAAGCGGUGUUUCGCGAUUUUUGUCAUCAUCGCUCUACAGCGCCAGACAAGACAAAGAAGCAAAUUUAUCUUCAAAGAUAAUCAAGUGACACACAUAUCACAUCAAGAGAAUCAAACUCAGUAUAUUAAGGCACCAUGGUACUGGUUUCAUCCCAAAAGACGUCAUGAUGGAGUCAAUACUACGAACUAUUACAGCAAGGCAAAGGCAAAUACAAGUAUCACGACGAAGGAUGAGCCCCAACCUCAUCCGUAGCUUCCUGCGCGGUCCGGACAGUCGCCGCAUUCAGCUCCUCAAUGACGGCGGUAAAUUUCUUCGGCAGCUUCCGUCCCCGCUUGGCGUAGCGCUUCAAGUAGACAACCUGCCCAUCCGGAGUCGUCGGGGCACCAUCAGCAACCUUCUACAGCACUACUUGGUCGAGUCCAUGCGCGAGCGAGAGAAUGAACGCAGCUUCAGCACCGGCCUGCGUCUGCCGCUCGAGUAAAAUCUUCGAGUGGGUCUUCUCUGUCGAAGAAACUCAACAAGCCGUCGGGUGAACCCGGCGCCUCAGCAUCUGGAUACAUACUCGCGAAUAGAGACCUCAGGGAAGAAGUCACCUUCAUGAGCAUGUCACCCGUAUGAUCGCAAAGUUCUCCGACGGAGCCCACCACACCGCUCAGCUCAGUCGCUUGGUGUUUGCCCCGAAGGGUGGCCAAGGAGCCAAGGGAGUCUGCGCAAAAAUCACGUCAGUUGAAGCAAUCGCAAGGGAAAGAAAACUUCUUAAGAUAGGGUCAAACUCACCGGUGAGUGCGUCGACGGCAACCGAAAGCUGCGACUUCAAUUUGUCAUCUCGAGAGGCAAUUUCUUUCCUCUCGAGUGCAAGACUCUCCUGUGCCUCCAAUUUGGGACUGCUUGACAGCUGCGUCCACCUCGGCACGAGCAGCCGCCAAUUCCUUGGCAGAAUCAGCAACUAGUUGCCCAUACUUCGACCGCCACUCCUGACCAUUGCCAACUGCCGCAUCGCGUAGUCAGUUGGCUUGUUCGGUCAAACCUACAAGUGCAGAAAUGGUUAACAGGCAACAGUCCAUGCAACAGUAUGGUGAAGGAUUAAAUCUAGCUAAGGAACACAGAUUCAUACCAUUGGCGUGCACAGCGGCUUCUUUCGCUUGGUCCAGCUCCAGGGGUAGUUGCCGGUUCUCCUCCUCUAAAAUCAGAUAGCGGUCGCCAAGAUCCACCAGCUUUUCGACGAAAGGCUGCAAUGGACAGAAGCAUGAGUGAAAACCCUUAGCAGAAAACUUUCACUCAACACUCCCAUCGGGAGAAUACUUACAUGAUUUUAAGGCACCAGCGACCCAAUGCGCAGAUGAGAUGCAGAAGUCGACGGCUGCGCGAUCGUCUGAGCUGGCGGAGUCUUGGGAAGCCCUACUGGCGAAUUCCUCGCUAAUGGAGAAUCUUGCACCUCGCUAGUAGCAACUCUGGCCUUUUUGGUUAGGGGAGCCGACGGAGAUGGCAGCUGGAGCUUCGGCUCGUUUGAAGCGGCCAUGGCACUUGAAGGAAUCGUCUCUUCGUGCGCCUCGUGCUGAUAAGAGUCUCCAGUCGACUGCUCCGCUUCACUCAACCGACCCUGCUUUCGGGAUUGAUGGCCGUCUUCGUCCUCAUCCAUGUCAUCUUCGUAAAGGGCAUCGGAGUUGGAACCGUGAACCAGUUCGUCGUCGUCGACUAGCACUCCCUCGUCCAGCGAAGGCUGGCUCAUAAGCUCCUGAUGGCCCUGUAGCAACAUCUUUCGAUGAAGACUAACAUGGAAAUUGCAGGGUAAUAAAUGGCGAGUGAGCAAGUAAAAAUCACCUCUUCGCGCGAUGAUCGGGUCCAUAGGGUGGAAGAGGCGACUCCAGAUCUUCUAAGGUGAUUUCCUUUCGAGUAACCACCCUAACUUGGGUCAGAAGAUCCUCAUCCGACAGCUCUUGCACGCAAACUAGAGUGGAAUCUGUCAGCCCCGAGUACUUCCAUAUAGAGUGAACUCGAGCUUGGAUCGGCUGAAUCCGCCCCUUCAUAAAAAGAGCGAUAAGCUGCAAACCACUCACCUCUUUCUCGGGAGUCUGCUAAAGCUCGACUACCUGUUUUAAUAGAGCAGUAGCCUCUGCAUCUUCUUCUGCUAUCAACUCAUGAUUCCAAGACUUCAGUUUCCUCACCUGAGCAGUAGCGGAGAACUCGGGCAGGCUGAAAUCCUUGCCGUCGACUGGUUCAUCCUGGAGGUAAAACCACCGACUCCUCCACUGCUGUACCGACUCGAUCUGAUGAAGGGAGAAAUACUGAACAUCUCCACGAACCUGGAUGUUGGCGCCGCCGGUCUUAUAGAUCCAGUCGCCUUUACCCUAUCGCUUAAUGAUGGAUAGCUUUUUCCACAGACCCCAGUGGGGUUUCACGCCCAAAUAGCACUCACAGAGCGUAAUGAAACACGCAAUGUGCAAAUAGCUAUUAGGCGUCAGAUCAUGCAUCUGAAGCCCGUACGCCAGCAGCAGUGCAUGGAAGAAGAAGUGGACUGGGAGAGAAAGGCCACAGAUAACAAAAUCAUAGAACAUAACUCGCUCCCCAGGCCUGGGACGGGGAGUUACCUCGUUGCCCGGGAUGCGAACUUUGCCAAAAUCUUCUCCUGGAAUCAGCCCAUGCUUCCGCAUCACCGAGAAGUGACGCGCCAAGAUCCCGGAGCGCUUCCAUUUCCUAGUCCUCUUGUCGCCGCCAAGCAUGGCAUCAACGGUUUUCUUCGAUUUCUUGUCCAUGGCGGGGGCAGCAUCGCGAGAUGUCUUCCAGCUGUCAGUAGCGGCGCUGGCGCCAGCGGCAGCGGAGGCUUUCUUCUUGCCCAUGGCAGCAAACGCACAAUGGCACUAAGGAACGAGGGGUGGAGCGAGAACGACGGAGGGGAAGUUGGGCUGGAGUAAAGAAGCAGAGCGCAGGAGGAAGCAGGAAUUGAAUGCAGAAGACAAGGAGGCGAAAUGAGGUAAGAAGAAGAAGAUUGAUAUUGCAACAGGAAAGGGCGGAAUCACCGCCGCACGAUUCAGAAUGAUGCCACGCGUUUCGCAUCUAUGUAUGACGUGUGGUCCUAGCAGAAAAGAGUCGUUUCCCCUUCCACCGAUUCAGGAACCCAUGACAGCUAUCAUUGCGCCUAAAUUCUUGCGCACGUCGUAUGGUCAAAUCAAACUGAUCGCCUUAGCAGUACUCAAUUCAGUCCGUGCAUAAAGCAUAAGGUACGUCCCAUCGACUGCCCAGACCAUUUCUUUUAUCAGAGCGUCAGCAAAGACGUCAUAUCAAACUCUGGAAAGCUCGGGUUUCCCACCCGACGGCACAGAAACUCGAAGUGUACCCGACAUACGGGCACUCGAUAGUAUUAUCUGGGUCGCACAGACUGUGAAAUACACCCGAAGCCACGCCCAUAACGUGAAGGUAAGACCCGAUGGUUUUCAUCGGGCCUGGAAAUCAGCACCGUCAGGCGAUUCCAGAACAUCCAUGCGCUUGCAUGAAGAAAAGAUCCCAACAGACGUGUUGGUUGAUCGCCCCAAAGUACUGGAUUUCGAGUCUUUAAAGCCCCCGGCAGGUUGGACUCGAAUACCGCCAGUUAUCCAAGCUCGAGCUUGGGGACUCGAGUGCUGAUGUAUGCGAACAAAGUUUUUGCCCCGGAGCAAUUAACUGGACUCGACCGAUCGAGUAUUCCAAGCGUGUUACGCAACCAUCCCACACAGCAUCAAUACAAUUUGCAGAAAUACCCUGUGGUUUCCGAGUCACAGGCUAAGAACUCUCGAAGUUCGGGCCUGACGAACACUUGAGUCAAUCGACCGACAGAAGAUUAUUUGCAAUUUGCUACACAGUCGAGUAAUCAGAAUAAGAAAACUCUUGCGUCCCUACCCGAGCCUACGCCUCGAAAAGGGACUUGUGGGCUAACUGACGAGGGAAUGACGCUUCAAGUACUCAACCUUCAUAUACCCGAUACAGCCCAACAGGGGGUCCACUCGAAGGCCCAUCAAGUAUAUGCAGGUCGAGUCCCUCAAAGUGCGGCUCAAGCCAAAGAACAUAAUCUUAUCAUACCGGAAUGAACUGAUCUGAUUGUAACCUUCCCGAUUAUCACACCCGAGACCUAACCGCCAAUAUAUAAGGCUAGGAGGUGGGAUCGGGAAAGGCGAUCCUUUAUACACACGCCAGAUUCAUCUGUGCUUCAUAGCUUCAUAGCUUUCCUGUAAUCUCAAUCAAUACAAUACACCAAAAGCAGUACGUAGGGGUAUUAUCUUCCGAGGGCCCUAAACGUGGGUAAACCUUGCGACUCUCCUAGUCUUUGUUAGUCGAUGAGAUUGCUAGUGCACCUCGUGUUCUUCCUCAGUCAAAAACGUUCGAGUUACGGAAUUGCCGAGGUAACUCCUCGACAGCCGUACAUCACCGAAUCAGCAUCCGAACUUCUGACCUUUCUUUCUUGUAUGGAUCAAACGGACAACCAGCUGUACUUCCUCCUUUCAUACUCCUGAUUUUUUUUUUCUUUUUUUCUUUAAGAUCAAAACCAGUUCUUUCUCCCUUCAUAACUAACGAUAACGAUGGCACCCGAUCGGGAAAAAAAAACGAUAACGAUGGCACGUUAUUUGAAUACGACACUAACUUGUAUUGGCAGCACCCGCAUGUUUCUAGACUCUUCCACCAGGCAGUUCGUCAGUACAGAUUACGUGUACUAUUCUUUACCUUAGCGCAACGAGUCAAAGACUAUAACGCCGGUCUACUGCGUCCGGCCUUCUCGUUCUUUUCCAUGCAACUACCAGGCAACAUCAAACCAAUAGUAAGCACGAGGACCUGCUGGACUCGAUAACGCCACAUAUAUGAAGAGGCGUGGUUCCGCAGUCCAGUGGGAAUUGCACAUCGCACAUUGAUCCUCUCCCUCUUCCUUGAAAAAUAACUCUCUGUCUCUCGAAUCUCGCCCCGCAAUCUCUCUCGAAAUCAUGGCGCCGAUGAAGGUGUUCGGGUCGGCGCCGUUCACGAACGUGGCACGGGUGCUGGUGUGCCUGGAGGAGAUCGGCGCCGAGUACGAUCUCGUGGACAUCGACUUCCAUGUCAAGCAGCACAAGGCCCCUGAGCAACUCGCCAGAAACGUACGUCAAUACAAGGAAACACAUAUAGGGUCGAGGGAUCAUUCAUCCCUCGUUCUCAGAGUUGAUUUGGAAAUAAGUUCCCGCAAAAGGAAUAAGAUUAGGAAAUAAGUUUUCCAUAGAAAUAUAUUUAUAAAUAGUACCACCAGUAAUUAACUGUGCUCUACUCCAAACAGCCAUUUGGACAGGUCCCGGCGUUCCAGGACGGCGAUCUGUUACUCUUCCGUGAGUCCACACACUUCAUAAACCCCAUCAAUUUUCAAAUCCUUCUACUAUUUCGGAAGCAGGUCACUGAGCACAGAAUUUUCUUUCCAUCUUUCUCAGAAUCCCGUGCAAUUUCGCGGUACGUGCUCCGGAAGUACAAGACCGAGGAGGUGAAUCUACUGCGGGAAGGCAACCUGGAAGAGUCUGCGCUCGUGGACGUGUGGCUAGACGUGGAGGCGCUUCAGUUCGACCCCGUGAUGCACUCGGUGUUCUAUCAGCACCGCGUUGUGCCCGUCCUGGGCGGGACAACUGAUGCGAAGAUGGUCGAGGUGAGCAUCGGGAAGCUGAAGAAGGUGCUGGACGUGUACGAGGCCCAGCUGAGCAAGCACAGGUACCUGGCAGGGGAUCUCGUCAGCCUCGCCGAUCUUAGCCAUUUCCCUGAGACGCACUACUUCAUGGAGAUGCCCCACGCGGCGGUGUUCGAUUCGUAUCCUCGUGUUAAGGCGUGGUUGGAGGAUCUCAUGUCCAGGCCGGCCGUCAAGAAGGUUGUUAAAAUGAUGGGCCAGGAAACCCACUAAAAGUUGUGCUAGUCUGUGCCGUACGUACUACGCCUGGUGCCUACUUACUAGCUGUACGCAUGGUGCCUCUUUAUUCCUUAGCUUUAGUUUCAGCUUAAUUUUGUCUUGCAAAUAAUAUACGUGUACCGUGCGCUCUGUUCACUUCACGGUAUUGUUCGCUUUAGUCACUAGAUUGUCUAGGGCAUCUACGGUGGAAGAUAACACUGUCAUUUCUUAUGUGUUCUUAAAAACAAGUACAACAAAUAUUGUACCAUAAGUCAUCUUUUAGUGUCAUAUCUUACAAUUAGUGUUUACGUGAAUAAAAUUAAUUAAAUAAAUGCUAAGAAAACGUGAAUUCUAGUAUAAUUAUAAAACUGUCUUAUUAUUGCUUUAUCCUUCUUGUGAAGAAAUUAUCUAUUAGUUAAGAAAACAGCUUGCUUUGAGAACCAUGGUCUAUGAGGAAUCGCCAGUCUUCCACUCGCUUUCAACUCAUGCAUUAUAUUCUAGGAAGUAUGCAUCUUUCCUGGUAUGAGUAAUAAAAAAAUCACCAUCAUUCAUCAGUCAUGUACUCAUGUUCAGCACACCAAACAUUAUGUACUUGAACCAAUACAUUUGUAAAUGGAUUAAGAUGUCAUGAAGAUAUGCCAUCUGAGGAAAGCAUAAAAUUGUCAUGAGCACUCUGAUGUAAGAAAACAGCUAACCAAUCAAUUAUGCUUUGUUAAGUUCUUACACUGGGACAUGCCACAAUCUCAGUAUCUCAUCUAACAUGUAGAUAUGGCUGCAAACUGUGUUCAUAUAUUUUCGCUGAUUCUACGCCUGCAUAGUAAGUUAGACACAUGUAAGUGCACCAUGGUAAGAGAAAAAUGUCUAUAAUAACAUUAAGCAUCUGAUGCAAAUAAUGCCAAAUCAAAUGCAGUCUUGUAAUGGGAGUAGCAAAAUCCCGAUCGAAAGUUCUUGGUCACCUUAAUCACUGGGUCAAUCAAAAUUCUCUUUAAUUAUAUGCCAUUGGGGAAAUUAUCACUGAAGUACCAAGUAUUAGUACCAACAUAUAUAUUAAUUGGUGCUCACAACUAAUGAGGAUCGGAGAGAGUAAUACUAAUUUAUAUUCAUAUAUGUACAUAGGUAAUUAUUUCCAGACACGGUCUAUUGCAAUCCAACUACAAGGGAAAAAGGAAGUUAUAUGUUUGGUACCAUCUGUCAAUUGGUUAAUGUGAGUAAUGUCAGACAUAAGUCUCGGGCCGGCUAACGAUGCCGGCAUGCCCAAGCAAUGCCCACAGCACGGUUAUGAACUCACCGCCACGCCGGAGCGACUUCGCAUGCGCCGUGACAUUCUCAGACGGCGCCAGGAAGACGAUGAGCUCCGCCCAGAACUCGGCCAGGACCUUCCACACGAGCUCCUCGUUGCCGACCUCCUCCGCGAGCUGCCGGCCUAGCUUCGACGCCUUCCUCAGUGCUUGGUUCGUACUCCCGCCGAGGCACGUCGCCAGGCGCUCGUACCGCACCAGCGGCCCCGCGCAGCGCGCCAGCACCCUCGUCGCCUCCUCCACAACUCCCUCGUAGAGCUCCUCUGUCCAUGCCGGGUGAUCCGGUAACAGCUCUGGCUUCAUAGCGACGAGGUAGGCACAGUAGCGUGACAGGUGAGUUGCCACGACCUCAUGGCCUCCAUCUGCGUCGACAUUGUCGCUGCUGCCAUGAGCUCCCUGAUCUGACCGCUUGAUCUCGAGUAGCCUUGUGGCGACAUGCCACACAAGGAUCUGCUCGGAGAUGCUUGUCUCAUCACCACCAAUGCCGUCAUCGGCGCCGCCUGCACCGAUGCGGCAAGCCCAGACGAGCUUAUCAGCGACGCCGUUGCGUCGAAGAGAAAGCACGCCGUUUACCAGUGAUCCUUGGUUCGUCCUCAGAGUGGUGACGAUGGCUGACUUCACCCACGCUGGCACGGCGACGGAUGUCUUUGCGAUCCGGUCCACAUGCCGGGACACGCACCCGCAGUAGCACAUCCGGGGCUGCAGGACGGACGACUGGCCGAACCGGUCGUCCCAGCGCUGCACGGCCUUGAACCGGAGGACGCGGCCGAGCUUGCGGCGAGUCCAUGGCGAUUUCCGCCACGACGGGCGGCGCGCGUACUCGCAGAGGGUGGCCACCUUGAUCCAGUCGGAGCGGACGUAGUUGGCGAUCUCCCACCCUUCCGUGAACACGAUGGCGAUGAUGAAGGACACGGUGACGAGCAUGUCGAGGCCGACGAUGGCGUGGAAGAUGGUGUCGUGGUUCUGCAGGUAGCUCCUGAGUUGGUUGUAGUCCACGGCCAGCGCCGUGCCUCUGUUGGUCAUGUCGUGCACGAUGGCCCCGCCGGCGGCCAGGCAGCUCAUCCACGUGGCCAGCACGAGGGUCGAGUUGAGCACCGGGAACCACCAACCGCUCGCGUAGAAAGAGGUCAGCUUGGAGUAGAGCAAGUCGGCGAGGAAGGAAAGCUCGGUCUCGAUCACCCGGAAGGCCCUCUCCGGGCUACUACCUGCCCCCAGGAGGCCAUCCUGCACGAACGCCAAUGCUCGGCGAGAGCCCACCUCGGCGAGGGGGCACCCGAGGAACCGCCGGAGCUGCAGCUUGAACAGGGAAAAUGAAAGGCAGAGAUCUUUAAUCUGCGGAUAAGACGCGAGGAGCGAGUCUCCCGUUGAAGAAAGUCGCCAUAUCCGGUCCACCGUGACGACAUGCCCAGCAUCGAUGGACAACGAGGUCUGGCCAAUUCGGUACCCUCGCGGCCUGGCCUCGAUGUGUAGCUUCUCCUCGCCCAUCACCAAGUACGGAGGCAUGCUGUCUUCUUCUCCAUGUGGCAGGAGGUCUUCUUGUUGCCCAUAGAGCUGUUUCAUGUAGUCAGAGAUGAGGUAGGCGUUGAGCCCGACGGCGAAGGAGUUCUUGGCGAGCUCUGCAGCAACGAGGCGGUGGAUGAGCUUGACGAGGCUGAGCACCCACAGCCAGAGCAGCACGCCGGUGAGCUGCGGGCUCCCGGCGUUGCCGCCGCUGCUGAUGAUGAGGAACGCCACCCAGCCCAUCCGCGCCAGCUGCUCGACAGAGGGGCGGAACUUGCUGCUGCCGCUGCUGCCACCGGUGCUGUCGAUGGUGAGGGAGGAAGACCGCGCGGUGUCGACGGUGUUGCGCAGGAUCUGGAGGAAGACGGUCCAUGCGAGGAGGAGGGGCACGCGCGCGGCGUCCCAUUUGGCGGCCGCCGAGACGGCGUAGGAGACAAGCGGGAGGAACAAGGUGGAUGCGGCCCACACGAAUAGGCGCAGGGCCGGGUGGCCCGCGCGCCGGCGGUAGGAGCUGAGCACCACGAGGAGGGAGAGGAGGACGAUGCUCACGAUCGCCGCCACCUCCAUCAGGAGGAGGUUCAGUAGGCUCGUGGCCAUGGCGAAAAUCACCUCGAUGCCUCGAUCGAUCACUCUCCUCCGAACCCAAGCUAGCUAACAGUUAUUAAUUGUUCGAAUUUCGCAAGACAAGACAAGCGUGUGCAGGGUGUAGUUAUUCAUGCAUGCAUGUGCAUGGAAUCAGCAGGUGGGUAAGCUUCAUGCAUGCAUGCUGCAGGGUGAUCAGAAGAAGGUUGGAUUGCAAGCCAAGUAAAGGACAGAAUUCAAUUCUAUGCUUUAGGCACAAACUCAAACAAGUAACUGGCUGUAAAGUCGCACAUCACAUGCACGAUGCUUGAGCCUUCAGGUAUACACAAGACACUUCAUCCAGCAGGUUUGUGCAGCUUAAAAUUGUUUUAUCCAUGAUAUAUACUACUCCGUACUAAUUUAUACAGCUCACGCGUGAGACAUGUGUACUAUAUAUGUGGCAGGAAAAGUUGAUUCUACUCCCGAGCUUUUUGCUCCUUCUAUCACAGCCGCUCAUCAACUAACGUGCAUGUGACGGGAUUUCGGACGGAAAGUUAGCACUUUUCGUGCAGCAUGGUUAUUUCGAUCGGAUCGACAUACUCGCAGUUGUUUCGAUCGGAUAGACGUACUCGCAGUUCUUCUCGCGGGCGGAAGACCUUGCUCUCAUCUGGCAGUAGUUUAGUAGAGAUGCAAUCGGAAACAUAUACACUAAACCUAUUUUUGUACUGUUUCCCGCUGCACGCGCCUUCAAAAACCUUGUCCGAUCCGCAUCCACUUUCGAUCCAUAUAAACUAUGCCAUAUCGAUCAGCAGUACGUAAACAGUAGUCCACUGUUAUUGAACAGCAUCCUUGUGAUUUGAUAAGUUAGGCACGGUGUCCACGCGCGAAUGUAACUCAACAGGUUGAUGCAAAAUAAAGCAAAACGUUGUAUGUACUGCAGCUGUGAAUCCGAUAGAGAGAGAAAACACAUAUUUCUUCCGUCCCAAAAUAAGUGAUGUGUAUUUGUAUAAGAAUUUAUACAAUUCCACGUCAGUUAUUUUGGUGUGUGUAUAAAGAGAGGGAGAUAUAAAAAACACAUUCUUGAGAGAGAAUUGAUAAUAUAUAGAGGGACAAAGUAAACACAUAUUCUUGAGAUAGAAUGUAUAUAUAUAUCGACAGAGAAAAGUACCUAUUCUUGAGAGAUGGUGGAUAUUAUGGAGAGAAAGUACAUGUUCUGAAGAGAGAAUAUAUAUAUAUAUAUAUAUAUAUAUAUAUGUAUGUAUAUAUAUAUAUAUAACAUAUAUUUUGAGACAGUUGUACAGGCAUGGACCACUGUUGUAAUCUCUGGAUGAAAACUUUACCGUGGGCACCACCAGUAUGAUCGUGAGAUAUAUUUACUCACUCCGUCUCAUAUUAAGUGACGAAAUAUUACAUGUAUCAAAAUGUUUUUUUAUACAGGUGCAUCCAUAAAGAGGGCUAUAUUCUUGCAGCCAGCAGCAAAUAGACCUACGAAUGUCUGAAUUGGUUUUAGAUCAUAGUGUGUCAGUGUUGUCGGCCCCAAAGUUUUCAUAAUGAUUUCACUAUUCAACGACAUGACCGCAACAGUGUUACGCAUCUUUUUUUCCAUCACCAAAUAGUACACCUAUGUUGGACUAGGUAGCCAGUAGCCCAGUACUAACGGCUCUCGGCAACGUCUCCGUUUGCUGCAGCCAUACUAGCUGCAUGAUGCCAUCGCUAUGAAAGAUCGGACGGCGCUUGACGUGUUCGUGGACGGCUUGGAUAGGUGGAGUAAAAAGCUCGAGACCAAAAAAUCCACUCUCGUGGGUGGCACCUUCUCACGCAAAUAUGAAUGUACUACAGGAAAAGUCGCCUGAAAUUUCACGGAUUUCAAUCUUUUUUUACUAGUCUUCGGAUUAGCAAUUUUGCAUCCCGACUGCCACUUAUUUUCUCUUAACGUGGUGGAUUGGCGGAUCUACGAUUUUACCACUCCGGGUGCCCACCUUAUAUAUACACAUUGUGUUGUGCAAAUAUCAAGGAUAACAAACAUAAGUUAAAUUAUGCCCUAAUUUUACCACUGGGGGUGCCGCGCCACCUUAUACACAUAGAUUAGUUCAAUAUUUUUGAAUGCAAGAAAUCAUUACUGAAAUGCCCUACUUUUUUGACAGCAGAAAAAGAAAAUUGGCCUAGUGAAUAAAACAAAAGGGAUGUUUCCACAUAAGCACCGAGUUAUUGGAUCCUAAAAACUCACCCUGUAUCAGUUUGCUCGAACAUCAAAUAGGGUCAGCCACAGCAGCAAACCUUGAUAAUCGACCUUUCACAUAGAUUAUUUAUUCGGUGGCAAGCAGGGAUAGCAAUCUGAAAACUUGAAAUAUAAAUGGUCAAAAAUAACUAAAAAAUUAUAAUCUCUAGAGAACCAUUUCAUCUAAAUGGACUUCAGCACAAAUGUUUUCAAUAAUGUAAACCAUCUCACUGAAUUCUCAGCCCACUACGACGACCAUUUGACCAUUUUUUUAUUGUUUUUGCGAGUAGAACGAACUUCGAAUCUCACAACCAAGCAAGGUGAAUACAGGCACAACCUGGUCCACGAUGACAUGAAACAUAACUCCUAAAGCAAUCUCCUCCACAACCUUGCAGAAGAAGAAAGUCCUAAAUCAUGGCCUGGCAUACGUGUAUCUAGCCAGCAAGGCGGUCUAUUUCAGUAACACUAUGUACAUGAAUGGAGUGACAAACAUGAUCUAGCCAACAAUACCAGACCAUUUGCAAAUCAAAGCAUACCAGCAUGCCAGCAAAGAAACACAUUCAGAAAUAAAGGCUGAAAAUAAACACAGCAUAGCCAAUCAAUCACUUUGUUUUUCUAGUAGAAUAUCUUGCCUGCAACCUUGACUUUUUAAGCUGGGCAGACUGUGCGGCAGGCCUGGGGCAAUGUAUUAGAUGCCAAUGCUUCUACAUACCUGUGCAUGGUGGAUGAAGAAGAAACUUCAAUUGGAAUAAAAAAUAACUAAGUCACUGGAUCAAUCAAGAAGUAAACAUGGAGAGAUUUAGAGACUAAGGAACUAACAUAUUUGUAUGAGAACAUGACCAUGGGAUCCAGCAACUGUCCGUCCUUCAUGGUAUCAAUGUGUACACGGGUUCUGCCAUAACGCCCAGGCAUCUUUAGUAACCGGGGCCAAGUUGAAAUGGAAAAUGGAAAAUAGAACAUGUGACAUUUUUUAAUAAACUAUCAUACUACGAAGAAUAUCACAACUGAAUGAAAAAAUAGCAGUUACCAUGAAGUUCUAAAGAACACGGUUUUGAGCACUUUAUUUUUAUAAUAUGGCAUAUAUUUCUAAAGAACACGGAUUUGAGCACUUUAUUUUUAAAACAUGGCAUAUACAUCUAAAGAACAUGGAUUUGCAUUCAGUUCAAAGCUAUGAAGCAUAUCACAACUGAAUGCAAAAAUAGGAGUAACCAUGAAGUUCUAAAGAACACGGAAUGUUUGAGCACUUUAUCAUGGCAUAUAUUUCUAAAGAACACGGAUUUUAGCACUUUAUAUGUAUAACAUGGCAUGUACAUCUGAAGAACAUGGAUUUAAAUUCAGUUCGAAGAUGGCAUAUACAACACAAAUUUUGCAUUCAGUUCAAAGAUGGUAUAUACUUCUAAAAGACAUGGAUUUCCCUUGCGCUAAGGAGUAUUUGCUAUACUGGCUUUGUCAAUGCUAAUUGCUAACCCCACCCAUGCUAGUGUGAGUGUUGUCCAAAAAGACGUACGAUCAUCUCCGUGUCAAGGAGCAGAUCAGGGAAAGAAUUACCAGAUCAAUGCUUGUCUGCAACAAUGCACACAUGAGCUGCCAAACUGAGCUUCCCUCGGCUACAAACCCAGAGAAUUCAUUUCUCCACACUGACUAAUACACACUGGCUUUGUCAAUGCUAGUUGCUAACCUGACCCAUGCUAGUGUGAGUGUCAACCAAAAUGAUUCAAUGCCACCAUAUUGGUUAUGUGCCAUAUGUUCCUCAGCUGUGAGUUGUGACAGGCAGAUGAUGUGUUAACUGAACAGAAAACACGAGUUUGCCAGAAAGAAGACAAAAUUGCCUUUUAUGUGUGGAUGAUGUGGUAUGUCGACUAUCACUUGCGCCUGGCACACGCAUAUCAGUAAUCUGCAGUUUGCUGUUUCCAUGUUUUUUCUGGUGUUUGAAACGCCCUUCUUCAGCAUUUGGAUGCUACGGAAUUAACAUGCAGUCUCUCGUCAUGUUUUGUACUGCAGAUCUUCAGCAUGCGGCCAUAGGAAAUUAUAAUGCACAUAUCAACUUGCUUUGAGAACCAUGGUCUAUAAGGAAUCUCCAGUCUUCAACUAGCUUCCAACUCAUGCAUUACAUUCUUGGAAGUAUGCAUAUUUCCUGGUAUGAUUAAUCAAAAAAUCACCAUCAUUCAUCAGUCAUGUACUCAUGUUCAGCACACCAAACAUCACGUACUUGAACCAAUACAUUUGUCAAUGGAUUAAGAUGUAAUGAAGAUAUACCUUCUGAGAAAAGCAUAAAAUUGUCAUGAGCACUCUGAUGUAAGAUAACAGCUAACCAAUCAAUUAUGCUUUGCUAAGUUCUUACACUGGGACAUGCCACAAUCUCAGUAUCUCAUCUAACAUGUAGAUAUGGCUGUUAACCGUGUUCAUAUAUUUUCGCUGAUUCUACGCCUACAUAAUAAGUUAUUGACACAUGAGUAUGUAUGUAAGUGUACCAUGAUAAGAAAAAAUGUCUUAAAUAAUAACAUUAAGGCCCUGUUUGGAACAGAGGAACUCAAAACAUAGGAAUAGGAAAAAACACGGGGAUAGGAAAGGAAUGCAUGUGCAAAACAGAGGAAUCAGAAACACAGGAAAGUUUUGCAAAAACCUGUUUGGAACACAGGAAACUGAAAACACAGUAAUGUUUCUACAUAAAGAUAAAAUAAGGUUAAAUUCAUUUCAUUUUCCCUAUAUUAGAUAAUGAUUGGAUCUGCAUAGAAAACUUGUAAUGAAAAUUUGGAACACAUGAAAAAAUAUAUUGAGAUGAUUGACAUGUACUAUUAAGAAUCGCAAUCAUAUUUUAUUAAUUAGCACAUCUUCAACUAGUCUCUCCUGUUUCUUCCCCUCCCUCUCUUCCUGUCUCCUCUCAGUACGGGCUGGUUCUGUAUGUCAGAAGCCCACAACGCAGCUGCAGGCUGCAGCCUCGGUCUUACACGCUCGAGUGAAAAAAAGAGAUGCUAGUGGAUGUUUAUAUUCCUGUGCAAUUCCUGUGAAAGCAAAGGAAAUGGAUUCCUAUCCUCAUACCUAUUCCUACAAUCCAAACGGCCCAAAUGGUUCAAUUCCAUAGGAAUCACACAUCCUACAUUUUUCCUGUGAAAAUACUGCAAUCCAAACGGGGCCUAAGCAUCUGGUGCAAACAAUGCCAAAACAGAUAGAAGCUUGUAAUGAGAGUAGCAAAAUCCCAAAACUUCUUGGUCACCUUAUCACUGGGUCAAUCAAAUUAUCUUUAUAUGCCAUUGGGGAAAUUAUCACUUAAAUACCACGUAUUGUUAUUUUCGCGGUUACGCUAGUAUAUAAAAUGAUUAAACUUGGUAAAUUAAUAAGCUAAGAAGAAAGUAAAUUGCAUUAUGCAAAGAGACUGCCUAUAUCAGAUUUUUGCACUCAAUAGCCAGUGUUGCCAUGUGAAGAUAGAGAACAUUGCUUAUUUUUCUAAACAAGAUAAGAAUAGGUAAACACAUCAUUAGUUGGUCAUUUUGCUAAGGUUUUGGCAUGUUUCCUAAUUACUCCUACCAUAAUACCCAUGCAUUGCUACGGAGUAAAAAAUACAUUAUCUAUAUGUUUAAAGACAAUGUUGUACUACCAUCUAUUAACUUUGAUUGUACAUCUAUACCUGUUCUCAUCUCAAUGAUUUAUGCCAAAUCAACAAGUGAUGCAGUUUGAAGGUGACGGACCACCGCCACCAAUUGAGUCUUUUAUAUAACUAAGUAUAUAAAAUUAUUAACCUUUUUAUAAAUUAAUAAGCUAAGAUGAAGUACAUUACAUUGUGCAAAGAGAGUACCUAUAUCAAAUUUUGCACUCAAUAGCCAGUGUUGCCAUGUGAACAUAGAGAAAAUUUCUUAUUUUCUCAACAAGAUAAGAAUAGGUAAACAUAUAAUUAGUUGGUCAUUUUGCAAAGGUUUUGGCAUGUUUCAGAGUGACUCCUAGAUCUUAGACCGUUCAAAUACAGAAGGUAAAUGAUGUCUCAGCGAUCCAUCUUUGAAGUAAGUAUUACUUUUACCUCCAUUUUGUGUUGUUCUAUUUGACUUAAGUAAACAUUUCCUUAAGAUAAAAUAAACAAAACAUUAAAAAACUAACUGGAAAAUUGGGUUGCAGAAGUAAUCGUGAACUCCAGAAAGAGGUAUUAAACAUAGUGUCAGGGCAAACAAUAAUUUUACUGGACAAACAAUAUUAACUACCACUCCUGCAAUUCCACACAACAGGAGGAUUUUAUUCAUAGAACUGGAAGGAUUUCUAAGGGCACUAACACUGAGUUGUAUAAGCUAAUGAAUGCCCACUAAAGUCUCAUUUAAUAAUGAUGCAUAGAAACGGUGAAUUUCUUUUAACGUAAAUACAGCCAUAACAUUUUACAGCACAGGUUAAGUUUCUUGAAUUCUAGUAGAAACAACCAGCCAACUUACUGUUCUUGUCACGAGAAGUCAGCUAUAAAUUGCUGAUAUCAAUUGUAAUUGGUCUUCUUGAUGAGAUUCUCCUAAUGCGUCCGGUACAUCCCGUGAAUAUUUAGAUGCUGGAUUGUACCCUUCAUCCUUCAUGUGUUUACCUAGCCUUCUCAACUCGGUAUUUAUAAUUUCGGCAUCAGGAUGCUGCUGCUCCCCAACAACAAACACAUGAACUCGGCUGUUAAGCUCAACCCAACUGCAUCCUGGAUCUUUGCUAACUCCAACAAGUUUCAUCAAAUAUCUCACCCGCUCAACGUCAUUCCAUUUCCUCUGUGCAGCAUAGAUGUUUGACAACAAUAUAUAUGCUGCGGAGUCCCCAGUACCUAAAUCCAUCAGCUUUUCACCUGCAUAUGCUCCAACAUCAAAAUCCCGUAAGCUUCGACAUGCUCCCAGUACUAUACGCCACAAGCAUGUUCCAUGGUCGAUAGUGAUUGACUCUAUGAAAUCUUUUGCUUCACUUAGCAUCCCUGCACGGCUAAGAAUAUCCACCAUGCAAGCGUAAUGAUCGAGCCUAGGAGUUAAACCAUAGUCUUUGAUCAUUGACCUGAAGUAAGUCCAUCCUCUGUCAACUAGGCCCAUGUGACUACAAGCACAUAAUACAUUAAUGAACGUUACAGGAUCAGGAGCAGUGCCCUCUAGCUUCAUCUCCUCAAAGAGAUUGAUUGCGUCGUUUCCACGCCCAUUUUGAGAAAACCCAGAAAUAAUCGAGUUCCAUGCAAUAACAUCCCUAUGAGGCAUCCUUCUGAAUACAACCAUGCCAUCUUCGAGGUUUCCACAUUUUGAAUACAUUGUAGACAAGGCACUUCCAACAGAAGCCCCCAAACCAAACCCGAACUUCAGGAUUUGAGUGUGCAAUUGCUUCCCUGGCUCCAAUGCUGCAAGGCCAGCACAUGCUCUAAGAAGACUAGUUAUUGUCAAGGUAUUAGGAAAUACGCCCUCCUUAUCCAUCCUGGCAUACAACAUCAAGGCUUGCUCGAAUUCCCCAUUCUGCACAUGCCCAGUAACCAUUGCCGUCCAAAGGACAAUGUCAAGCUCAGAAAACUGAUUAAAACAUUCUUUUGCAUCACCAAUACAGCCGCAUUUGGCAUACAUGUCCACCAGUGCGCUCUUCACAUAAACCUGUACCUCAAAACCAAGCUUCACCAUCAAACCAUGUGCCUGUUUCCCCUCCAUCAAUGUUCCCACAUCACUACACGCGUUGAGAACCCCAACCAAAGUGAAUUCAGUUGGUGGGAACCCUGCAGCAUGCAUCUGUGAGAACAUCCUAACUGCACUUUCUGCAUUCCCAUUCUGUGAAUACCCAGUAAUCAUUGCAGACCAAGUGAUGGAGUUCCUCUCCUUAGACGACUCAAACACAUGGAAUGCUGCAUCCAUACACCCGGCCUUCGCAUACAUUGUGACAAGUGAGUUCUCAACUGACACAAACCCCACCAUCCCAUCCUUCACAACCAGCCCAUGCACCUGGACCCCCAUCGGCAAGCCAAGUGGCACACUAAUCGCACUAAGAACCGCUGUGGCCACAAACUCAUUUUUGUGCAACGGGCACUCGCCAAGCAUCUGCCGGAAGAGCUCAAAGGCCUCCUGAGAGCACUUUCUAGCAGCAUACCCCGCCACCAUGGCGGCCCAGGACACCUCGUUUCGGUGCGGCAUUUCGUCAAACACAAGCUGGGCGUCGGGAAUGAGACCCAGCUUGCAGUACAUGUUGAGCAGCGCGGUGGAUACGAACACAUUGGAGCUGGCGGACGGGAGCUUGCAAGCGAGAGCAUGGACCACGGCUCCGGCGGACGCGGAGUGCGCACGGGCGGCGGCCGUGAAGGCGGCGGCGAAAGAGUGCGGAGACGGGAGGAUGGUGGAGGAUGAGAGCAUGGAACGGAAGUGGGAGAGCGCGGCGAGGGGCCGGUGGUGGGAGAGCGGGUUGAGGAGAGAGUUCCAGGAGGCAACGUCACGGGCGGCGGCAGGGAUGUCUGCGAACACGGCGAAGGCCGCGGGCAGGAAGAGGCGUGGGAAGGAGGAGUAGAAAGUGAUGAGCGAGUUGGAGACGGGCGCGUGGGAGGACGAACCGGACUUGAGCGCCCAAGCGUGGAGGGCCUCGCCGUCGCGGGGGCGGGAGGCGCGGCGGAGGUGCUCGAUGAACUGCGUGUGGGAUACCUGGCCCGUGAAAGCCAAGGGCGGCGCCCUUGCCAUUGAAUCGGGGUGGAGGCACUACCGCACUAGCAAGUAGCAACCGAUCAUCAUCAUCAUAACUAAAACGAGUUUUCCGUCGACCAAACUUGCAGCGCCGCCCCCUUGGUUCGUCGUGACAUUGGCGAAGGGAGCAGAUGAUUCAAUUAUCGGUUGAUCCGGUAGGAGUAUUAAAUUUGAAUUUCCAAAAUAACUUAUAUUUUGUACCGUAAAUUUCACUCCCUCGUCAGCUGACAUGAAUUUGUAUAGCAUGGACGAAGUACUCCCUCCGAUCCGAAAAGAAAUGCGUGUAACAUUUCACGCGAUGUUCCGAAAAGGAAUGCGCGCUCCUCUUUUCUCCUCCCACCUGACCAAAGAGCCCCUACUUUCCAUCCACUCAACUGUCCACCUGUCUGAUCACUUUAUUGUUUUCUUGUUUUACUCUGCAUGCAAAUUCUUCUCCCUUUUCUCUUCUCCUACCGAAUACUACUCCUCCUCCUGCUCCUCCUCCACUGGACCUUGCUGCCUCCGCCUCCAACUCCAAGAGAAGAACACCAAGACGAGAUGAAAUCAAAAGGAAAAAUCGAGAUGUUUGAUGAGAAAUCGAAGAGAGCUUGUCUUCCGUCCGUGGAGGACGAGUCAGCUCCGCUUGCCGUUGACUUUGACAUGCCUGGCGACCACUCCGACGACGAGACCGACGAUGGUGAAUACCAGGAUCUUUCAAUUUGGGGGGAGAGCCAAGAAGAUGGCUUCGACGAACUCUACGUCUGCAGCGAGGAAGAAGACACGGAAGAAGAGAAGCGCGUGGGCGGAGGGCGACGCGUCCGUCACAGCGAGCACUGAGACCCGCGUGGCAGCCACCGCGACGAGCCCGGCAGGCUCGGUGAGGGCGCACGCGGGCUCGUCCACAGCGGCAUGCACGACUUGCCGGACGACGAGCCGGUGGACGACGGCGUGCGCGGGGUCGGCCACGACACGAGCAUGGGCGGCACGCACGGGCGUGGCCACGGCUCUCGCAGACUCAGCAGCGUGCUCUCCAUCGGCCGCGAGAAAGAAGGCGACCAGCACAGCGAGGGCCGUGCGUGCGGUCUCAACGACGGCGUGUGCGGACUCGGCGGGGACAUGCACGGCGGCACGGCGUGUGGACUUGGACACACGUGCGGCAAGCUCGGCCACGGCCACGGCCGCGGCGUGCACGGUAGGUCGUGCAACUCCCAGCUUGGCGAGCGCAGCGCAUCCAGUGCGUGCCCGUGGACUCAAGCGACGAUGACGGAGCUCGCCAUCUCUGCUGUGUGCGUGGGUGCGGAGGCGAUGGUGGUGGCAUGCUUAGAGACAGAGCUUGCAGCCGCGGUGACAUGGGCCAAGUAAAAUUUUCCAUUUGCCAAGUAAAAUUUCUGGGUUCCCUUUGUGCGAUAGAACCAUUUCUAUCAAUAUAAAUGGUGUUGUACACGUCCAGAAAUUUAGGCUCAUGAGGUAAGCUCUGUGGGCGUGCUCCUCGUCUGCAUGGCCAUCAUGGUGGGUGUGCUCGUCGUCUGCAUGGCCAUGGUCGUUGGCGUCGCCGUGAUCUCCUCCGUGCUCGUCGUCUGCAUGGCCAUGGUCCUCGGCGUCGCCGUGAUCUCUGGCAUGCUGGUUGUCUGCAUGGUGGCCAUGGUCGUCGGCGUCGCCGUGAUCUCCGGUGCGCUGCUCGUCGGCGUGGCCGUAUUCGCUCGCGUGCACCUCUUCGGCGUGUACCAGGACUUCAUUGGCUGGUACACCGCGUCCGCGACUAGCAGUGAGUCCCAGCCGGGUGCGUCCCCGCCCGCGGCGAUCGGGCAUGAAGCCGCGGCCGGCAAGCACGAGCCGCGCGCUGCCGCUGCCAGCGCGUUCCAGCGUGCCCGAGCUUGAGCCAGGCGAUAAGCUUCUGCUGCCGUUGAGCCCGAGCCGUGCGCCAUGAAUUCCGUUGCCGCGUCCAGAACGAGGCUCGCCGAGGUGCUGCUCCGCUUGAUGAUCGCCACCGCGUCCAGCAUGCUCGAGCCGUCCGUCGCCACGCCCAGUGUGCUCCAGCCGUGGGCUGCCACGGCCGGCGACGUCGUCCACUCCAUUCCCACGGCCGGCGAGUCCGAGUCCGUCGCCGCGUCCGGCGAGCUCGAGCGGUGGGCUACCGCGGCCGGCGACGCCGAGAACUCCAUUCCUGCGGCCGGCGAGCUCGAGCGGUGGGCUGCCGCGGCCGGCGACACUGAGAACUUCAUUCCCGUGUCCGGCAAGCUCGAUCCGUGGGCUGCUGCGGCCGGCGGCAUCGUCCUCUCCUUCUCGUUCUUCAUCAGUAUCCCACUUCAAAUCAUAACUCAAAUCCUCAACUUCACCCUCAUACUCUUCUACCCCAUCCCAGUUGAUCGGUUGGUUAAGAUCCAAGUCGGUCAUGAAGGAAAGCAGAGAAGAAAACAGAGCGGUGAGCAGAAUUGGAUUUUCAGCUCAUGCUAGCGCAUGGAAGAUGGAGCAAAGGAUGAGCAGAAUGGAAGAUGGAAGAUGGAGCGUAGGACAUGACCAGUUUUCAAAUUUCAAUUUCGUUGGCGAUACUAAUCAGUCUACUGCCAAAAAUUCGUUCCCUCCAAAAAUUUUCUUGCUGGUCGUCCGUCCAAUGAGCAAACAGUUCUGUCCAGACCGCAUGCAAGGAGGUGGAAGAUGAGCGGACGUGGGCAAGCAACAAGCAGCGUAGUGGUGGGCCCAAUGCAAAUUGUUCCGAAUUGUUUGCAUGCGAGGAGCUGACUGUGAUAGCGACAGCAGCCCACAGCCAGAGGAGAUUGCGUACGCACUCUGCGUCCAAAAUGAGAUAACUUUGCAUUGCAUUGGUUUGGCUGCAAGAGGUUAUGCGCCCUCCUUUUUGGAAUGGAGGGAGCAUUAAAUAUCCGUUUUCACGGUUGUGUUCGUCUCGACUCUCGAUGAGUGUUUCAAAAUAUACCACGUAUUAUUAUGUUUUGAUGAUUGUUUUUACACCAGCCGUUAUCAAGUUAUACUAUCCUCAUGGAUACCAUGUUAGUUGUGAACGUUUAUCAUAUAACAUCGGUCAAUUUAUAAUAUAGGCUUACCAAGUAAAACAUGUACUCACUCCGUCCGAAAAUAAGUGACGUGUAUUUGCAUAGAUUCUUAUGCUAAGUGAUGUGGAUUUGUAUAGAUUCUUAUGCUAAGUGACGUUAAUUUGGAUAAAUUUUUAUGCAAAUCCACGUCACUUAUUUUCGGACGGAGGAGUAUUCACAUAUUGCAAUGUUAUGCAAGUUCAGAGAGUUAUAAGUAUUAAAAUGUUUGAACAAGUAAAAAAAUUUCAUCAAAUAAUAAUAUUUCAAGUAUUUUAUAUACAAAGGUAUAUGUUGAUGCUCGGCAAACAUAAACAAGUGAGUAUACCCUGACAACCAUGAGGUCACAAUUUGAUAUCUUCUCCUCUGACUUGCCUUCCAAGAUAUAUGUUGGAUUUCGGAAUGGCCAGUGAGACAUGAGGUUGCACCCUUUGUGGUCAAUAAGAGGAGACCAUGGGUCACCUCAUGUGGUAUGAGAGCAUCUCCAAUGGGCUACCCCAAAGCUAUCCCAAAUGUCCUAUUUGGGACAAAAGGACAUAUUGGCCCAAAAAUCACAUCCCAAUGGGCUCCCCCAAACAGACAUAGUGGCCUUUUUGUCCGGACAGAUCCCCCAAACUUGCCCCAAAUUUGGGGGCGAAAUGGGAUGUCCUUUUGUCCUCUGUUCGGGCCUGGCCCACGGACUUUUCUUUCUCGCACCAGCUUCUUUUCCUCCCGAACGGGAUUUCCUUCGUUGCCCAGUCCCCCGUCGCCUUCCCCCGUUCGUUCUUCCCCAACCCCGAGCUCCCCCAUGGACGGGAAGCGGAGGCCGAAUCCCGCCGUCCCCCGUCGCCUCCCCGCACCCGAGCCGCCCUGGACAACACACCGAGGCCGUCCGCUGUGUCCCGUCGGGGCCCUUCACCUACCGGCGCCCUAGCUGCCAUGGACGGCGCACCGAGAAACUCCGCACCUGCUGCUGUCCACGUCGACGCCGCCGUCGCAAGGAAGAUCCCCAACCCCGAGAGCUUGAAGCGCAAGGAGAGGUGCCACCGGGCCGCGGAGGCGAAGAAGUUGCAGGAGGAUGCCGCUGCUCGAGCCCUUGCCGCCGCCAAGGAAGAAGAUGCCAUCGCUGCUGAGGCGGCGCAUAACCAGUAGUUGGCCGCCCAAUAGGCUCUCCUCCUGUACAAUCGGCAGGCCGUGGCGGUGGCAUUUGCCCAACAAGCGGCCGUGAGUCAAUCUUCAGGGAACCGCCUUCCUCAGAGCAUGUCGCCACCCGUGUCAUCUCCGACAUACGGCUCCGGGCCUGCAAUGGGACCUCUCUCUCCAUGCAUCCAGUCCUCGGAGGUGGGCGACUCGGUGUCGUUUGCGGGUGCAUCGUCGGCUCUCGACCUCAAUGCCAUGAACAGCCCCGGUGACUCGCCAAUGAUGCAAUGGAUGCCUCCAUCCGCCCGCGAUCUCCCUGAUGGUCGGAAUCUGUUCAGUUCUCCCUCCCCGACGGCCGUGUCACCGGAUGCCCGGAAUGUGUUCGAUGAAUUGCCACCGACAAAUGAGGUACAUCUUUCACUAAUUCAAUUUGUUGUCUUUUCAAACAAAUUGAUGGGGCUUGAUCGAUGCCAUAUUUUUGGAUCACAAUAGGCAUACUAUGAUGAUGAAGAAUCAUUGCAAGAGAUGAUACGACAUGGUGGGCAGCAAGAUGGUCGGAAGGAGGAAGACGAAGAUGGUGGCCAUAGUGGGCAGCAAGAUGAUGAGCUAGAUGGAGAGGAAAAUGGUGAGCAGGAUGAAGAGUUUGAUUAUAUGGAAAAGAGUACGUUCGAAAAAGAACUAGCUCAAGUAGCCUCAGAAACAGCAAGUCGCACCAAGAGGACCAAAUCAUACAAGGAGGAUGAAGAUAAGUUGUUGUGUGAUGCAUGGCUAACAAUUGGACAAGACCCAAUUGCCGGGGCCGAGCAAAAGGGCGGUGCAUAUUGGAAGCGCAUACAUGAGUACUUCCACAAGUACAAGAACCACAUUCCGUACUCAUUUGAAAGUGAUCGCAAUGAAAACUCUUUGACCCAUCGGUGGCAACAUAUCCUAGCUGAAUGCAACAAGUACACCGCUGUCUAUGAUAGUGUGAAGAACCGCCCUGUGAGUGGAGUUGGCAUGGCUUAAGUGAUCCAAGCAAUGGAUGCCUUCCGGGCUAUGAACAAUGGCAAGAAAUUCAACUUACCUCAUUGUUGGAUCAAGCUUCACAAGGCUCCUAAAUGGAUUGAUCUAGUUGCUUCUCUCAAAAUCCAAGCCAAGAAUGCUGCUCAAGGGAAGAAAAGAAGCAAUGAUGGGAUACCAAUUGAUCUUGAAGCUGGUGAAAUAAGUGGGGGUUUGGGGAAGCGUUCAGAUCGACCCCGGGGAAAGAAGCUUUCGAAGGAUGACUUGAAGCGUGAGGCCUCCACUAUUGCCUUGCAAGAAUCAUUGAAAGAGAUGAUUUCUGCUAAAGAGGCCUCAAGUGGAAAGAGAGGGGAAAUUCGAGAACUCAAGAAAGAUGAGCACUUCAAAAGCUUCAUGGACACGAUUCAAGAGAAGUACCGUGGAGAUGCAGCUGUUGCCACUGACCUGGCCGCCACUGCCAAGCUGGAUGCAACUUCAAGAGCCAAAGAAGUGGAGCUCAAGAUGUUGAUGGAGGAGAACCGGAUCAUGAGCAUGGAUUUGAGCCCCUUGGAUGAUGUGGCGAGAGCUUGGUACAUCGAGAAGAAGAAAGAGAUCGCGGAUCGACAAACUUGAAGCUACCCUGUUAUGCAUUUUCUUCUCAUAUUCUCAUGUGAGAGUUGUCAGAUUUAGAACCUAUAUAUGCUGUGAAAGAUGUCAGAUUUUGAACCUAUAUAUGCUGUGAGAGAUGUCAGAUUUUGAAACUAUAAAUGCGUGAGACAUGCCAGAUUUUGAACCUAUAUAUAUGCUGUGAGAUAUAUCAGAUUUUGAACCUAUAUAUGCUGUGAAAGAUGUCAGAUUUUGAACCUAUAUAUGCUGUGAGACAUGCCAGAUUUUGAACCUAUAUAUAAUUUUUGAGUGGUCUAUGCUGCCCGCCAAGCAUUUCUGGGAAAAAAAGAAGGUUCUUGUAAGCUGUAAGUUUUCAUUUUUGUUGGAGCAAGGAAGCUAGCUGGAUUUGCAUUGUUCAGUUCGGUUCAUAUUCAGCAAGGAAGCUAGCUGGAGCUUCUUGUGUCUAGUGACGGACAUAUUUCGCAUGUCAAAUUUUGAUUUAUAUAUGGUCUGAUUUUGAAGCUAUACUAGAAUCCCAGUUCAGUUCAGAUUCUGCAAUAGCCUUGUUGUUCAGCUAUACUUUUUCUUGAGCUUUUGUUGAGCUAUACUAGAAGCUAUAUGUGGUGUGAUUUUGCUAUGGUCAACGUUCACGGUUUUAGUUCAGACAGUUUGUAUCCAUGUUUAUUUAUCAUUAGCUAUUUUUAUGUCAUUAAUUUGUAUGUUUUUAAAUUCAAAUAAAGUAUGCAUGUGUGCUAGCAAAAAAUGCAAAAAAAAACCGCAUUUUCGGACAUGUAGAUGUCCGUUUGGGGGACGCCCUUGGGUGAUGGUGAGGACGGACAUUGGGCGGACACACGUCCGUUUGGUGUACACCAUUGGGUGAUGGGGGCGGACACUGAGCGGACACAUGUCCAUUUGCUUCCCCAAACGGACAAAAAGAAGACAUUUGGGAGAGAAAUUUGGGUAGCCCAUUGGAGAUGCUCCGAGAUCCUCUACUGGAUAUGAUCGAUCACGCUACCACCGAGGAGGACUGUGUGGAUUGCAUGGAGUGCGGUUUCCCUCUAUACCCCUCAGAUGGCCCACAAGGAUAACGCUUUCCUAGUCGUAUUGUCCGCCUGGUGAAUAUGAAAGCAUCAUAACAUGUCAUUUUUAAUACCGCACGGUCAGAUAUCAUGGGUCUACUCUCCACCGUUUGGAAUGAGACUAGGCCUUGGAUUCAUGCGGAAGUUGGGGGUUUAUGAGUGAUCCUAUCUUAUAUCCUUGUUGUGUGGCGUGUCGAGUUGUAGUUCCGUGUUCGUCUUUUCUUCCACUCGUAAAUAUCUUUUUUUGUCUUUACUUUAUACAUCGAGUUUAUACAUCGAGAUUCUGGACGCAAACUUUGUAUUUUCUCGGCGAAAAAACGAUUAAAAUCCCAAGGAAGCAAGUCGAUCUGAUCCAGUCGGAACUGGCCGGACUAUGGGCCCGCUGUGAGGCAAAAAGAAACUUUGGCGAAGUCAGCACGAGAAAACGAACCUACCUAGACCGCAGCACGAAGACGACGACGCAUCAAUGGGCAACACCGGAAGCACCGGCAGCUCCAAUCCGCCGCGGCCUCCUUUUGACGGUCGUGGGCAUGGGCUGCCACCGCCGUACUACCACAGGUACCCGCCUUGGCCCCCAAGUGCCGCCGCGCCGCCACCUGUGCCGGUUCCUGCGCAGGUGGAGCGGCACAGGGCUGUGGCCGUGCACGCCGGCGUCAACGUCAAGGGGGAUACCCUGCGGCUGGUGCCCGACGACGAUGGCCGCUGCCUACUCCUCGCCUUCUCCUUCGAUGCCGACGCGCCCGGAAGGUUCCCCCUUGCUCUUCUUGAAUUCUUGAUUUGUAUUGUCGUUCUGGUUCCUUUGUAGUCAUGCCGACCAUUAGUGUGCAGGCCGUACCCCAGAAUUUGGAGGCCCGGUGCGAAAUCUAAUAUUAGACUCCUAGUGUUACAAAAGCCAAAUAUGAAAAUAACUUUUGGUAAUAUGAUUGUUUGACGAAUUACAUCUUAUCACCAACAAAUCUUGGAAAUCUGAUGUCCUGUGUAUUUCCUUUAAUAGAAACGCUCCAUCCUAGCUUCUAGCAUUUCUUGAUACAAUCUUCAAGUAGUUUUUAUAAGAAACCUUCUCCAAAACAUCAUUUUCAAUUGCUACCAGAGCUAAUCCACUAAAUCUUGAGUCAAAAAGAUGAAAAUCUUGUCUCGCUGUAAAAUGCAAAUAUGACUUCAACAAUUUCAGUUUACAAAACCUUCUCUCUGCUGAUGCAUGGAAUAGCCAACAAAAUUCUACAUGUACUACUUACUCUGGCUUGCUGCUCGCCUGCUCCUCUUGGUGAAUCGGUUAUCGGUUACCAAGCAGUGUGUCACUUCCAACUUGCUGACUUCAAUCGAUGUGUGAAAGCUGUCAACAGAGGGGAUCAAACGAAGAACACGAGUCUGUUCAACAGUGUAUUACAUGAGAAGAUGAAGAUCAGAAGAGAAUACUCAAUACACAGAUGGAAGAUUGAAAGUGGAGUGUACCUAGUCCUUGCCAACGAUGGAUCAGUUUUGGAGGAAUUGCAAAGAAAUUAAUCAGCGGAAGUAGCUACGACGAGCAGAUUGGAGAAUCGAGAGUGCUGCGAUUACGAUAAGAUUUUGGAAGAAUUCCCAUGUAGGAGUAGGUACUACUAAUGCUUUGAUUAUUCCCAACUAAACUCAGGUUAGCAGUACAUAACAGUGCCGCACAGGCGCCCUGGGCCUGUUAGUGUGCUAGCGUAUAGUUACUCUGUUAGAGUUUAUCAUGGACAUAUUUGUUUGAGCCUUGACACUUUUGUUCAGAACAUAGCCUUGAUAAUAUUUAUUUUACAUAUUGGCAUAUGCUUUCAUACUUUUGAUUAUAUGCUUCUAUGUACAUUUUAACAAAACUGGCUCUGUGUCAAUUGUCUGAAUGGUUCAGGUUAGAGUCUGUGUAAUAUUAGGAGCAGGCACAUGUUCAAACAUAUUUGGGGUGCACAUAUUGUGUUGGUGAAGCAUCAACAUCUUUGUCUAAUACUAUAUUAGAGUACCAUAUAUUGUAUGCAAGGCUUGGUGCUUGAGUGGAAACAUGAAUGUUCAAGGGAGUAGCAAAAUUAGUUAUAAAUAUGGAUUUCCAAGCCUAGUUAUAUUCAUCUAGGUAGCUCAGAUAAACUCACAGUACACAAGUCAUAAUAGAGCUUUGAUGGUUUUGGGGGUGUGCUUUCCUUCACAAUUAACAUUACCAAGCCAUACUUGUGAGAUUCACCAAAUUCCUACCUGUCUCUGUGACUCUGUCCCAGUUUGAGGUCAGGCUAUCUCAUUGUAGGUCCUUACUUUUUUCAUAGUGUUCCGUAGCAUCUCUUCCUUUGUGGCAUUGUCUUGUGCAUUCUAUUUUAAUUCUUGUCACUCGAAUUUACCACGCUAAUGUUCAUUAUCUUUUGAUCUUGCAAACAGCAUAACUGUUUACUUCUUUGCACAAGAAGAUGAUGACCAUGUCCUGAAGGCUACAAAGGAAAAUGUGCUCCAACCUGUGAAGAUAACUUUUAAGGAAGGUCAAGGUCAGGAGUUCAAGCAACCUAGUGGAACAGGAAUUAAUGUCUCAAUGUUUGAGGAAUCUGAGCUAACUAAGGUUGGUGAAGAUGGUGUAUUUCCAGUGGCGUUCAAAGUGGAAGUGGGUAUAUCAAGCAACCAAGAAUCGGAAAGGGAACAAGAUGCUGAAGACUCUAAGUCUUUGGUUAAAUUUGCUGUAUUUGUGAAGAAAGAGAAAGCUGAGUAUGGGGUUCGUGUUGUGCAGCAGAUAAUGUGGGUAAAUGGAACUAGGUAUGUCUUGCAGGAGAUAUACGGCAUUAGAAAUACAACUGACAAGAAUGUUCCUGAGGAUGAUUUUGGGAAAGAGUGUGUGGUUUGUCUUUCAGAACCAAGAGAUACAACUGUUCUUCCAUGCAGGCAUAUGGUAAGUUAUCCUUUCCUACUGAAUAUUAUUAUUUCGAUGAAUAGAUCUGACUAUAAGGCUUGUAGUUGUUGAACUUGGUUGUAAACGAAAAAAAAUUGACAACUUUUCAGCCUGAAUAUAUUAGAUGGAAAUAGGCUUGGCAAGAACAGUUAAACUACCUUCAUCUGACAAUACAUGAUGUCGUAGAAAGCAAUAGUCACUUUUUUCUUAUUUUGACUAGGACUAUAUAAAGGUAUAUUUGGGUUGGUAUGGUGAAAAUAGUAUCAUUACAUAUGUUAAAUAUAUCUUCAUAGUAUAAUAUUUUAUAAUUUCUCUUCACAUGAACGUAUAAGAAGUACUACCUCCUUCCCAAUUUAUAAGGUGCCCACACAUUUCGACAUUCAACUUUGACCAUCAAGUUAACCCAAAAGAUAUGGGUUAUGUGCCACAAAAAAUAUACCAUUGUAUUCGCAUUUGAAAGAAGUAUCUAACAGUGUAUUUUUUAUAUCGAAUAAGUUGUAUAAUGAUUGCUCAGUUGAUGGUGAAAGUUAAAUCUCGAAAUAUGAGAGCGCCUUAUAGAAUGGGAAGGUGGGAGGAAUUUUCAAAGAUGUUUGCAAGAGACAGUGCUAGUGUCUAAAACGUCAUCUAUUUACAGAUGGUAGAUCAUUUUGUUAGAGUUUUAGGUUAUUAUUACAUAUUCUGGAGUUGUUUAUUUGGGUUAUUUUCCAUAUAGAUUUUCUUUAAUCUUGACCAGGUGUUGAGAGCAAUGUAAUGUGGGAGGUAAAGAGCAGGACAAUUUAGAGAAGAGGCGGAGUUUGGAAUAAUAUGAUUAGUAUGCCACAUGCACGUUGAUCGUCUAAAUUUAGCAUUAGAAUUGCCCACAGUUACCGUCCAAUUCAUUACGGAAUCUGCUUAGCAGACACUGGAGUAAAAUUUCAUUUCAUUACCAAGAAAGUUCACUCAGUCUCGCUAUUAAGCUAGUUACUGCAAUUCAUUCCUUCUCUUCCAAAUUUCUUCAUGGCAUGCAAUUUUGGCGAAGAUGCAUUGCCAAAUGCCAAGUAUUGGUUCCAUCCUCUCCCAAAGAGUGAAUCGCACAACUUUUGAGCACAUCACGGCCUGAUUUGGCAAAGCGCCUUAUUUCUGUUGGUACUAAUUGCCACUUCUCUAUUUCUGUUUUGUAUUAACAGUUAGUUGAAAGCACUGCAGAGUUUUAGCAAAAUUAGUAGAUUUGGCAGUGCAGGCAAACUGAUCCUUAGUUUGAAACCAAGACAAGAACCUAUGAAGUUUGAAUAAUCUUUUCAUUUCACUUGUUGCAAAGUGUAACCCUUUCAUGUCAUGGGAAAAAAUGUGAAAGAAGUGAACUGUUGAGCCUGUUGGCAACAUUCCUCAGUUUUGACCGUUCAGUGUCUAAAUCUAUGGAGACAACUGAAUCACCAGAUCUAAUAUAUAUUUUAAUUGAAUACAAUCUACUCUUGGAGCCUCUCCUACAGUUUCUUUUUCAAAAAUAAAAUAAAAUAUAUCACCAGAUCUAAUAUUUGUGGCAUUUCAUCCUUUUUAUACGCCAGUGCUUAUCUCAAGAAGGAUUUUACCAGGGGUACAUAGGAGGAAAAAUGCUGGAGAAAUACCAUGACAUAUUAUACAUAUCUUUGAACUUAGCUGAUCCAUAAGUUUUCAACAAACCUGUGGCAAAUAACGUCUUGUGCUCUUUUGCAGUGCUUGUGCAGGGAAUGCGCUCAACUUUUAAGGUUCCAGACCAACAAAUGCCCCAUAUGCAGGCAACCUGUUGAGCGCCUUCUCGAGAUUGAGGUUGAUAGCAACAUGCUUCACCAAGGAGAUCAGUAGUUAAGAGUGCAUAAAGGAACUCUUGUUCUAGCAACAUUGCUUGUACAUAUUCCUUGUUCAAAUGAAGUUGUGUUUUUGGCAACAACAAGAAAAUGAACACAUGAAAUAUACCUGAGAAGGACGAACUGAUUGUGGUAUACUGUUGGCGACAAGCUACCUGGAAUUUUAAAGUGUAAUAACAUAUUUGUAGUCUUUACCUUUCAAGCUUGACAAUUCUAAUUGAAAAAGCAGUUUUUCUAAAGAAAUCUAUGGUACAAGCAUUUGGCAGAACAAGAUUGAAGGUUCCGUGCCAUGGCCACAAGCAGUUUGAACAUGAGUUGUGUUCAUCCUGUGGAUGUUCCUUGUUUUCGCGCUGAUACCCAUAUGAAAUUAGUCUAGAUAAUCGGAUAUGCGCUCAUAUUUUUAAGCUUUUUACUCUUCUUUGUUGCAAUGAGGUCUGCACAAGGAAACCCCUUCGUCCUCCGCGUAGCCUUCCUCUGGCGACACGGGGGAAACCCUAUCUGCCACCGGCCCACAAACCCCGCUUCCGUCUCCCUUGCUUCGCCGCUGCCGGAGGGGGUGCAAGCGAAGCCCCCGCAUCGCCCAGGGAAGGUGGCGGUGGGGCGGGCUUCCUCCCCUCGCGACCGGUGCAUGGCGGCUCCUCGGCGGCACGGGAUGGCGGAGGUCCUGCUGGCGGGCAGCACGUGGUGGCGGCGAUGCUGCAGGCAGGCGGGCAGCGCGGGGCUCCGGUGGGCGUGGGCGUGUGCCGCAGGUGCGCGAAGGUGCUGCUGCGUCUCGGAGGCCAGCGGUGAGGCAGCUCACCAGAUCCACCGGUGGUGGCGCCGAAUCCAGGGCGGACGGCCCUACGGUGGCCUACGCGGGGAACGCGGGCCCUUUGGCCGUGGUGGAGGCACGCCAAGGCUGCAGCUUGCCCCUUGGGAGUGGCGGCGACGUUGGAGUGCGGCCGGCUUGGUCUGCAGAGGGCGUUGACAUGGUGAUUCAGAUCCGGCCGAUGCGGGCCGAAAUCGGGGUUGGGGCCUUUGCAGAUUUCCCUCCCUUCAGUAGUGGACUCGCCAGCAUGAUCCCCAUCGCAGCUCCUGGACCGGAUCGGAGUCAGUGGUCAUGGGCCGGGGAGAAAUCCCUGCGCGGCUGUUGCCGACGACAAUGACGGUCGCGGCCGCCAUUACCUUCUUGAAGGCGUCGUUGUGGCUUGAUUGUGGCUUCCUCCUCCUUUGGCACCAGGGAAAACCCUUGGUCUGGUUGACGGACUCGACAAUGGCGGUGUUGCAGCGUCGUUCUCCUCUCUUGAGAGCGUUGUCUUGGUGGCCUUGGAGCCCUUCGAUGAGCAUGGUUGUCGUCGAUGAUGAAUGUCGGUUCCAUGCCUGGGACAAUGGGCCUUUGGGCGCGAUGGACCCACUCGUCGAUGCAUCUUGGACAAUCUCCUUCCUCAGUUCCGGCCUGCUGCUACCCUAGUUGCCGAUCUUCUCUCUUGGCGUUAUGGUGGGCUUGUUCGGGGUGGUCCUGAUGUUGCGGUCAUUCUUCAAGAGACUUGGUGGCGGGCGUGAAGCGGUUGUUGAGGUCAUGUGUGCGACUUCAUCGUCUCUUAGACUUGAUGUUGUGCAGGUUACUACGGUGGUUACGGCUAGGUUCUGGUCCAAUCUAGCUACGGUCGGUGGUGUGGUCUUUCUUUUGCCACUUGUCGGCGUUGUACUAGCCUUUUGGUUCUUUUUCUUUGUAAGUUGUUCACGCGUGGUUCUAAUCGCGCCCGAGCCGCUGCUGACCGCCAGGUGGCAGGUUGACUGACACGCUGGCUAAUUGCCGAGUUGCUGGAAAAUGCAAAUAGGCCCAACCUUUGCAUUUUGCAAUUUCAAGCGGGGUGGGGAGAAUCGGGAAAAGGACCUCAGGAUGAGUAAAAUUAAAAGAUCUGGCCUAUUCGCAAUUUUCAGCGGCCCGACAGUUAGCUAGCGUGGUAGGCAAAUUGCCACCUGGCCGGUUAGCGGUGGCUCGGGCUCGAUUACCACGCGUGAACAGCUUAUAAAGAAUUAGGGUCUAAAUAUGCACUUCGAUAGAAUUAGAACAAAUUUGACACAUUCCAAAUAGUUUAAGACAUACGGUGCAUUUUACUCUUUAGGUGUGUAUAUAUAUAUACACGUAGGGUCGCGCUAUUUAUUCUGCACCCCACCCGCCUGGUCCAGCCGAACGCCCGAGCGCGCUUCCGCCCCGCUCGGCCCAGUUUCUGUGCACGCGACGUAAAUUUGUUACGUUGGGGUUUCAGGACUGUAGGCGGUUGUAAGCCAACACCAGGCUGCAUGCGCAUUAGGAAAACAGGUUCCGUAAAAAGACAAGCAUGAACAUACGCCCCCAUGUAAAAUUACGUUGCAUGCGCACCUGAGAAGCUCGGCCCAGGGUGGGGAUAUUUUAGCUCGGUCCAGAGUGAUAGAGAUAGACAGAGAGAGGGAAGCUAGUAUUUUACAUUGGUCUAUGUUCGAUGAGGCAGCCCAGCUUGUGAUCUGGAUGAAAUUAUGAAUUCAAGGAGGAUGCUACACAAGGUAGAGGGACAAAAAAAUUAUGCAUUUUGUAGGACCUGACAUUGUGGACCAUUGUCAGAAGAGAAAAAAUUUACACUACAAUUUGAUAGAAUGCUCUAAACAUCCAAUACAGUCAGCUGAACGAUGAAGGGGUUUAAGUAUCUUCAGAUACAUCUACUCAAAAAUUAACAAAGCAACAGAAAGGCAACAUCUCUCUGCAUUUACACCAUGAUUACCUGCCCCAUAUCUCAAAGAAAGAUACAGCCAGCAGAUUAGAGUUUGUCAAUGACAAACUCAAUUGUCAGGUACAAAGCAUGGUCGCCUGCAAUAGUUGCAGUUUACAAGGCAUCAAAGGCUAGAGGUGUCUCCAUUUCCACCUCUGAUAAUCAGCAGCAAAAGCAACAAUGCAUAUAUCCAUGUCCACCUCUGAUGUCAUAGCUCACCUUCUGCCCUGACCUAGGCACCAUUCUCAAUCUUCAGCAAUUUUGUAUACACAGAUCCCUUGCCACGGCUACAACACUAUCAGUUUUUCAGCUCUUCCCCGUGGUUUUCUUUGUUUCUUUUGUCCCACUUUUGUGAACACUGAACUUAAAGUUCACUUCUAUGAACAGCAGUUUCUAACAGUUCCUCUUUCCCAAUCCUCUUUAUCUUCUGCUCCUAUAGAACUCAAAUCCAGUAAGGGUUAGAUAAAAAUAAAAUUUUGAUCUUUUACCUUCUCAUGAACAGAUCUGCUACUCCCUCCGAUCCAUAUUACUUGUCGAAAUAUUACAUGUAUCUAGACACUUUUUAUACAUAGAUACAUCCAUAUUUGGGCAAAUUUAAGACAAUUAAUAUGGAUUGGAGGGAGUAUGUGUUAAGCCUGUCGUAGCAGGAACAUAAGCAUUCACCAAGUAGAAAUAAUCAAACUCCAAAGUAAUAACGUGCCCUCCUGAUCAUGUUCUGCUAAGCCAAUUUCGUAUUGUCCGGAGAUUAGUUUUACCUAUGCUAUGAGGGCAAUGGAAACACAGCCUAAAUCAUGUCAUUGUCUACUUUGCACUAAUGCUACAUUGCACCGAACAAGUAUGCAAGGGUGAAAUCAUCCAGAGUCAAACAUGAGAGAAUCAUGCUUACCAUGCAGUUUUACUGGCGGAGGUGAUGCAGGGGAAGAGCUCACUGGAGCAGGAGGUGGAGGAGAUUCCCAUUGGAGCAAGAACUCACUGGAGGAAAAGGUUCACUUAUUCCUCGAGCUCGCACGAAACACACUGAUGGUCAUGUGGUCUGCACUCAUGACCAAUGUAAAUUCAAUAAUACACAUAGUCAGGCAAGGGAAAAAAUAAUCAUUGACCGAAAAUAUGAUAAUCUGAGUACAAUAUAAAAUUCAUAACCAUCCUACUGUCAGUGUUUCAGUACCACUAUGUGUAUUGUUUUGAGCACAAUGCGCAGAUUUGAUGAGAGUAUUUAUAUAUGACUAGCAUAAAUCCCAAAGGAUGACAGGUUGUUUAGCUAAUUACUGUACCUGAGAGUCAUUUGCUUCUGAACCGCUAUUUGUGAAGAAUACCUUUCCCAUUUCCCUUGCAGUGAACACGUUCAGAAUAUCAUUUUCAAUAAACAAUUUUUCCUUUCUAAGUGGUAGAAUCAUUUCAAACAGGAUAUCAUCAACAAGAAAAAUACAUACUCUACAAUUUAAAUAACAAGGAAGUACUGAUGAGGAUACUGGAAGACCAAAGCUCACUGAAAGAAUAAAGAAUGUACCAGUGAGGGUUUGGUAGUACGAUUCCAGAACGAAUGGUAGAAGGGUAAUUUGUUUAAUUGGUCUGUUGCAGCUUUCACAAGUCGAGGUUCGUUACCACCUGAACACAAUGCAACCAGUAAGCUAAAAAAAUGUCUAAAACCAUCUGUAAAAUGUAGCACUGGGAAAUUAACGGUGACCACAAGCUGUAAUGGACAAAUACUCGAAAUAACUGCGGCUACGUAUCUUCUGCAUCUGCCCAAACUUCAGAUACUCGAAGUAACAUGUUUCAAUUUAGGGGGAAAAACCACAAGUAAAAAAAAUUCUUGAAGCAGAUGUUAUCAACAUAAGUACUACCUUGCAUGCUACUCUCUCUGAUCCAUAAUGAGUGUCUCAGAUUUUGUACUAACUUAGUACAAAGUUGUACUAGAUCUGAGACACUUAUUAUGAAUCAAAUGGAGCAUUUAUAAACAACUCUUAUUGAAAACAGCACUCACAUCUUUCUUGAAACAAUUAGUUAAAAAUAAUGGUCAACUCAGCAGCAAAAUCAAAUGAUAACAUUCAUGGGCACAACAUAGUCCACUUUCUCCUAACUAACUAGAUUGGAUUAUGCAACAACUAAGAUUGCAUACGUUUUCAGGUCACAAACUUGUUAGCUUUAGUACACCAUUAACACCACCAUGAUAACUAGAAGGCCACCUAUGCAUUGCAGGUUAAAUAUCAGACGAACUGAACAUAUGUCUUUACACUAUUGCACAAAACGCACAUAUAUUACAGCUGAGUAUGUCGUGUUCCAGCCAUGAUUUGAGUGAUUUUGGUGUGUGCGUUUACCAGUUUUUAGAGUUUGAACUCAACAACUGCUUUCUACACUACCGAAGCAACAGACGUUUUCUGCAUUUACUGAAAAUCAGCACUUCCUGAAAUCUGGCAGAAAGUGAACUCCUUGAAUUCCAGCAGGAGCUUUUUAUCGAACAAACCUGAGAAUAUUAUUCAAGUCAAUCGACGUAAAUAAAAGAAUUACAAAAUCCUACAUUUGAUGGGACGUAAACACAUGGAAUUUGACUAUUCAUUUAAAUAACCACGCUCUCCAUAUCUUAAUAGAAUCAUACAGCACAAAGAGUGACGCCGAAACAUAUAUAUAAAGAAAAAGGAUAGAAACUGUCCCUGAUACUUACCUCUAACUGCUCAUGAAGCUGUUUCUGAACCUCGAUUUGCACACGCAGGGCCUCGGCCAUUUGCAAACUCCUAAGAAAUGAAAAUCAAUGUGAAUUGUGAUGACCACAGUUUGCACACACACUCAUGCCAGCUCGAACAGAGAUGUAGGAAGUUCUGGAGUGGGAAAUACUUCAUUUUUGCAGGAUCUAUUCCAUCAGCUGCUGACUGUGUCUUUUUAUCUUUUAAAGAGGUUUCUUCACUAAAUUGAGAAGGCAAGAAAUCCAGAUAAGAUUACAACAGAAAGAAACUGCCACCAUCACAGAGAUACAAGCAUUCAUUUUGAACUACUUUAAAAUGUAAAGAUUUUUGCCUCCAGCUUAAUAGUCUUACCUUCUUUUUUAUCUGGAAUAUACUUUGCAAGUCGAUAUUUCUUUUUUAUCUGGAUGUGUAUUUGUGAGCAAAAAUAAACAAGAUGGUGCUUUGCAACAUCAACACCAGUCAGAGAACCUGUGCUACCAAGCAUAUCUGCAAGCAUGCAAAGCUUUGCGCCUUGCAUGUCAUAUAGGUGCAACAUUAAUAUAUCUCUGGAUAAGAUUAAUCCCACAAAUAACAGUCUGUAGCAAGCUAUAGGACCCAUCAUAAAACAAUCCCAUAAACUUGAUAAUAUUCACUUGAAGAUUCAGUAAAGUGUGCAAUACUAUCUAAUUUUUCUGUAGUAUAGCUCUGAAAAUACAAAAAAGAACACUUGGAGCUUAAGAUGCUGCACGGUUGCUCUGUUCACUUGAAGGUUCAGUAAAGAAGGAUUAUGCAAAGCUGGCCACUGUAAAGGGAUGAUGCAACACGAAAUUGGUGUGUAGGACAUGGUGCAGGCAAACAGUGUAUUGAGAAUAUCAAAGCAUUACUGAAGCAACAGUAAUCCAUCAGGAAUGGAGAGUUAUGUUAAUCAGUGGGAAACUAGAACAUCAAACCAUUACUGAAGCAACAGUAAUCCAUUCAUUUGUAUUCUUCAUUCAUCUAAUGACGUAUUCCCUCCGAUACAUAUUAAUUGUCUCAAAUUUGCUUAAAUAUGGAUGUAUCGUCUAAAAGGCGUCUAGAUACAUGUAAUAUUUCGACAACUAAUAUGGAUCAGAGGGAGUACAAAAAUUUGAAUCCCCUUGUCCAUUGUUGGGAAUCGAAAAUUCGAAAGGCAUUAGUAGCAUAAUACAUCUACUUCGCAUUCUCAGGCUGCACGUUAUUUCACGCACCGUCGACAGACUCGACACCAGUCAUAGGCUCACUCUGCCUGGGUUCAUCCUUCACCUUUGCUGUCAUCUUCAAUUCUUCAUCAUCCGCAGGCACAUCCUUCAUUUGGUAAUCCCUCCACGUUCUGCAGACUGAGGCCAUGUUUGUUUGGACCACACCUUCCUGUCUAAUUGAUCUUCUUGCAUUGAUCACAUGAAGAAGCUUCAGUUCUGUAUGAUCCAGGAAGCAGUGGACCAAAUAAAUGCAUCUCCAAACAGUCAUACAGAUUGGCAGUGCAGGAAUCCUGAAGACAAAAAGAACACGCAUCUACCAAAUCAUGGGCACAAAUACCACAAACACAACAGGAAGAAGCAACCUCAAUGUCACAUAACUUGCAACCAUAAGGUUCUUCCAGUUUACAUAAGUUCCCGAACAAAAUAUUGCUAGGCACUAGAACUAUAGCAAAGCAUCGGAGGUUUGAGAUGAUCAUGAAGCUCAUAACAAAUCGGGAGAAGGAUACAGAGAGCCUAAUAGAUAGAUCAUUUUACCCACUGCUGCAGACAAAACACUUCUAAAGUAAUUGAUAACCACAUUGCAGGCAUCACAGACUUGUAAACAUCAUAGAUGACUAGUUGAUUCAAUGGGAAGCAACUCAGUGUAACUAGCUUCAGAACAGUCAGCAUCGAUGUCUACCAGUCAGUGAGUGCCUCGGAACAGGAAAGCAUCAGGAACAGAAGCUGGAUCCAGUUCAUAGAAGCCACGGAGUCUGCCACCUUUUUCCUCUGUCAGACGGAAAGAAGGUAUAUGGUGAGAAAACCUCAAGUUUUCAUUUGGAGGUAUCUCUAAAAUACCCCUUCCGCUGUCAGGCCUGAACACAACUCUGAAUCCAUCUACUUGUGUCAGAAAUGAGAAUUUUGUGCUAGCUUCAGUGCGCUCAGUAAUCUCACCAAUGGCGUACUCACAAGCAUCAUUGCUAGAAGGAACCCAAUCAGGUGCCCAGUUAUUGUAGAUGGCCCAUAUUUCACCUACUUGUGGGUGAAUUUCGAACUGUUUCGAGUUAACUUGGCUAGUUUCUACUAAAUGAGAGAAUGCACAAUUUGUAUCAUACUUGAUCCUCCAGUUGCAGAGUUGAAAUGUCCCACAGCUCACAGCUAUAUCAUCCUGUAACCACAUCUUCUCUUGCUCCAGUUGAGGACAAACUUCGAGCCAAGUCAAGUGCAAUUUGAAUGGUUUCACAUCGACUUUGGUCACCCAACCAUAAUACUUUGGAAAUUUGUCAAGAUCACUGUAGAGAGCCCAUAUCUGGCCACGUUCGAACUUAUUAUAUGAUCGCAGUUCUUCAAAGUUACAAAAUUCUGAGUCUGGAUAUGUUACAUAAACACCUGGAUCGGUGCAGAACUGCUGAGAGGAGGAACCAUGCACAGUAGUAUUACAGGCAUUCUGUUGCCGUUUUGGGGUUCGUUCAAGGGAAUUAUCUAUUCGUUUUCCUCCACUUUUCUUAUUCUCUUUUUGACCACUCGUAUUAAUGAAGCCACUGUUCAUUGUGUUGUCAAUAGGCGUGCAAGUAUCAAGAGUAACUGAUGGAAAUACUGUGUCCAGGUUACUAGGAAGUGACACGGUAUCUAGUUCAAGAAACCCACCUGCUACACCUACCUUUUCAUUUCCUUUUGUUCUAUAAAAUGGGAUAUUGUGAGAGAAUCGAAGCAGUUCACUCGAUGGUAUAACAAAUGAUGGUUUGCCUUCUGCAAAUAGACUGACAAAACCUUUAAUCUUGACCAAGGGGGCAACAGAAACUCCAGCUUCCAUUGUGAAAUCUGACAAGAUCUCCACAAGGUCAUACUCGUAUGUUUUGUGGUUAUCCGCAUCUGAGCUCCACUGCAUACUCCAACCCUUAUAAAUAGCCCAUGCCUCACCCUUCCCGGGAUAUAUUUCAUAUGUGCUCCUUUUUUUGCCUUUCACCCAUGGAACAAUAUGAGAAAAUAUUUGUACAUCUGUAGACACCUCUGUUUUUCCUAAUAUGAAGUUACCACAAGCAACAGGCAGUUCUUCAUCAGUCCAUUUGUCCUCUUCCUCAUUCAUUGCAUUGUGCUCCAGCCAGGUGAACUGAACUUUGAAGUUGGUAGCAUCAAGACGCCUUAUUCGAGCAUAAUAUCGUGGCAUGCCAUCACGAUCAUCAUAAAGUGCCCAGAUCUGAUCAACUGCAAACAAAUUGACAUCCCUGCAUUUCUCAAAGUCAAAAAACUCCGGGUCAGGAUAGGAAAGUUCCACUGAAUUGCAAGGUUUCUUUGCAGCAGCAGCAUUCUUGAUGUUUUCCUGGUUGCCUACGUUGGCAAUACUUCCUUUCUCUGGGUGGUGUGCUUUCCUAGAGACACGAGGUUCACUAGUUUUGCCUACAUUGGCAGUACUUCCUUUCUCUUGGUGGUGUGCUUUGCUAGAGACAUGAGGUUCAGUAGUUUUGCCUACAUUCGCAAGACUUCCUUUCUCUUGGUGGUGUGCUUUGCUAGAGACAUGAGUUUCACUAGUUUUGCCUAUAUUGGCAGUACUGCCUUUCUCUUGGUGGUGUGCUGUGCUACAGACAUGAGGUUCACUAGUUUUUACAUCAGCAGGAGGCAUGUUGCCAUCAAACAUUUUCUUACAACUGGAGUCAGCAUUUGAAAAGCAAUCUUUUAUGGUUCGCCUCUUUUGGCUAGGAGAAUCCCGGAUAUUGGCAUCAUGGCUUGCCUUUCUCCUAGCUGAUUUCUGGCCAUUAGGGUUCCCAGCAGUACCUGGCUCUGCUGAUGUAUCUACUCCCCUGCUACAUGGGUUUUGCCUAUCAGAAAGAUCUGGAUCAGCAGGGUCAGAUGCCAUCCUUCCACCUGCCUUGCCAUUUGCACAUGGUUUAGAAGAUUGAGACAGAUUUCCUGUUGAAUGUUCAACACCUCCUUUUCCACCUGCCUCUGCAUGGUUAACCUUCUCCUCACCACCCGCAUUGGCACUCUUCAUGUGCUCAUCAUUUCGUGCUCCAUGCGCCCAGGGUUUUGCGUUACUAUUCAACCCAGAAGAGAAAUUUGUAGAGAAGUCUUGUUGACUGUGAAUACCACUCUGUUCUCCAACACCGUAGGUUGCAUUUGAUGUGAACACAUAAGGCACAUCCUGUUCUUUUAGCUUAAAUGCAACAAAAUAUUUACUGCAGUUCUGACAGCGGAUGCGAUGAUUUAGUACAUCACUGUAGUACUGAUAUUUUGUCCUACAGUAAAUGCAUAUGGUCCAGAUUGCCUGUCCAGCAGUAGUUGAUGGAAUUGAUGGUCCACAUCCUGCUACACUACUUCUACUUGCAUCAGUUUUCUUCAUCGGUUCUGUAGUCUGCUUUGGUUCUGUCGCCUGCUUUGGUAUAGCAGCCUGCUUAGGUACUGCCGCCUGCUUUGGUUUUGUACCCUGCUUUGGCAUACCUUGCUUUGGCUGUGUACCUUGCUUUGGUUCUGUAGCCUGCUUUGUUGCAAUUCUAGAAGCGACCCUCCACUUGAUGUCAUAUGCAGGUCUUUUUAUCUGAUCCGACAAUGUUGAGUGAGCUUCUGCAACUAAUACGAAUGCGGCAUGUGCACCAGGGAAAUUGUUUUUAUCAGGGUGAAGUGAAAAGGCAAGCUUGCGGUAUUGCUUUUUUAUGGUUGUCUCAUCAGCCGUUACCUCCACCUGGAGAAUUCCAUAAUAGUCCAACAAAUCAUUCAUCUUUGCCUCUGCUGCACAAUGUACUUCACAGACAGUCAACAGCUUGGAUAAGUUCUCAAGCUCUGGAAAAAUCCUUUGUGCUUUCAGUGCAAUCCUUUUAGCACCAGCGUAGUCUUUAUUUUCUAACUUUUUUAGAGCAAUUUCCCUGGCCUUAGAGGCCUCUUCUCUAUUGCACUCCAUAAUACUGCUCCCGAAAACCACAAGCCGUCAAAUAAAAUGCCGUAAACUGAAUGUCAUAUAAGAACACAGCUUUGCUUUCACUCGUCCUUUAAAAGCAAUCUCAGAGAGUAUAUGAACAGCACGGAUCAGCUCUCAAAUAGAAACAAGAGCAUUCUUUUGUGUCAGGUCCUGCAAAUUUGUGAAAGAAUGAAUAUCAAUAUUAUAAACCAUAAACUAUAUCUAAGAAAAUAUACACUCAUGGACUCCAUUGUGGUGAUGCUAUUUUGUGAAGUAAAAUUAAUAAAAGACCAUCCAGGUCAGAAGGAUGAUACGCAGCAAGUAUAUUUUCUGAAUAGCAAUCACUUGAGUGUGUUGCUGGUUAUUAUGUCUCGGUCCAAUUCCAUGAUAUGCAGCAAGUAAAUUUUCUCAACAGCAAUCACCUGGGUGUGUUGCUGGUUUGUUAAUUGUUAUAUCUCAAUUCAAUUCCAUUUCUCAGACAAUUAGCAAGAUCUAACGAACUGAAUGAUAUGCCCAGCACUCCAAGACCAUGUAUAGUUUGUUUCUAACUGAAUAUCAGCAAUUAUUAUAGAAUCAUAUUUGCCAUCCUGAUCAAAUUAUUUGUUAUUUUGAUUCAUAGGAACAUCCACUGUUCUAACAAUGGAACGAUAAAAUAUGAUCAGCAGCCAAGAUCAUCUAUUGUUUGUUUGACACAAAUUAUGCUUGUUGACAGUGCAGAGGCAGGAAACUGUGGAGCUUGGGAAAGCCACGUGAGUGCAAAAACUGCCCAGAAUGAUUUGCCUUCAAUCACAUCAGUUAGUGCUUAGUAGUAGGCGCACCACAAAUAUAGAAUUUGAACAAGCCUAAUUAUGGCCUAUAAUUACAAACAAGUCCAUGUACACAUCGUUCCUAUGUAGUGAAAAUCGAACUAGUAAAUAGAUAAAAACUAAAGACAAACUAUGACAUUAAGUGCCUCACUACAAACUGUAAGAUUAAAAUAUAUGCUCUAGAGCAAUAAUCAUAUUCCGUAUAACUUUCAACUAUGUUGAUAUUGAAAAACAUUCAACAUACCACUAAUGUGCUAACAGAAGAAUUGGUCACUGAAAGUACACUAUCACUAUAAUUAAUUUGAGCACAAAGGAAUGGUGGGAACAGAAAUCUGAAAAACCGUUAACUUGAAUGAAGAACAGAAGGAUGCAGACAGCAUAUACUGGUACUAUCUAAUACUCCAUACUAUAUACUACAUUGACGUAAAUAUAACCCCUUGGUCUCAUAUCAGAACUCCAGAAUUUCAGGCUACUUUGCAAAUUGGAACUUGAAAGAAAGAAGAAUAGGCCAAGGACCUGCUCAGCAGCUUAGCACUUCAUGGCCCUGGCAGCUAGUUUGAACAAUCAUACAGCUCGCCUUGCACACACAACUAGCACCACCGGCAGGCUAGCCUUGCACAGUCGUACAGCUCAUCCAGUCCCUCAGCCUGCUCCAUGCAGUCAAGAGAUGCAGCCAUGUCAUAGUCGAUGGAGUAUCUUCUUCUUAGGGUUUGGGCCCUUUCGACAUUUGAAAUUGGUAACUGUGAGUUAGUGAGAGGCAGAACUGCUGAGUGCAGAGGGGUAGCCAGACAAGUGCAGGACUGGGAUUUGGAGGCGGAGCAUUCAAGAAAGUUCUGUUUGUAGCCUGGGGCACAAUUGUACCAAAUAGCCACGAGAGGCCCAUGUAGUGAGCAGAAUUAAGGCCAUCUACAUGAAAAAGAAAUGCUUGCCACUUACAACUACUAGGGCUGUCAACAAAGUUGGACCAAGAGAAGCACUUCAAGCUCAAGCCUGAAACCUGGACAUGAGCUCAAAUAGACCAACAGGGCUUUGUCCAGCCAAGCUCAAGCCUACUCGGGCUCGCUGGAGGUCAGCUCAAGAUUCAACCAAGCUCAGUGCAUUGGCAUGCCUAACCACCACACUGACAAGAGUCUGAUUGGUUGGACCGAUACUCGAAGCAUGGCUCCAAAAAGUCAACCAGGCUGAGCUCAAUAUGUAAAUCAGAGCAGAUUUUCUCAACCCGCUAGGAUCUCCUCCCUAUAUUCUCUCACUGUUUUUCCACUAUAUUCUCAAAUGGGCUCGGCCAAGUAGUGGUAUGUGCUUUGCUCCUGAGGUUUUAUGGGUAGUUAUGGAGGCUGGGCUGACGGUUUCAGGUAGGCGCUAUGGUCAAAGCAAGUAGGAAGCAGAAGAUUGAGAAACUAGAGAACUAGAGUGGGGUGAGAAAGCAUAUUGUGAUGAGAGAAUUCUCUUAUUGCUUGAUCCCAAAACCAUAAAAUGGGCAUGCUUUAAUAUCAUUGCCUAGGACUAUAUUAACUAGUUGGACUAGGACACCAUCUAAACAUGGCAAGGACACCAAUUCUACUUCCGAAUUUGACCUCCAUUUACUAUGGCUGGACCCAUCCCGCAUUCACUACUGCUUGCUGAAUCCAAGUUGGCCUCUGCCUGUGCAGAGUUAUAGUCAGACUCCUCAAGCUGCUGCUCAUCUUCUCUUGCUGGCCAACCGCAACUCUUCUUUAACCUACUGCUUUUCAUGGACCCCCCAUGUGACUCCUCACACACUCUGAACUAAUUAGAUGCCACAACAGUAGGGUUUGGGUACACCGGACGUCAAUGCCAGUGAAGAGGUUAGGGUUAUGCAGGGGGGUAGCCUAGGCAGUGGACUGACAUCGGUGGUGGUUUGUGAUGGGCAAACGUCCAGGCGUGUGGCAAUGCCACCAGCUGCAAAGAGCAGCCAGCUGGGGCUGUGCAGGCGGGCAGGCUAUUACCAAGGAGACGUCGGAUGUGGUGAGGCAAUGGCAGUUGCAGAAAACACUAUGUUGGGAAAAAUUAAAGAUGUGAGGAAUGCAUUCUUGAGAUGUAAUUAUGAUUCAAAAUGCAUGCAACAUCAUUUACCCAAAAAUAAACUACACAACUAUCCAACUUAGCGGAAGCAUGAUCAUUAUAUUGUGAUAAUUCUAUUUUUGCAUAUUUAGAAAUUCCCAGACAUAUCAAUAUGGAACAUGAUUAAAAGGGGGGUCAGUGCUUCUGCAGAAACCACUCACAGAAGAAAUGUAGAUCACAGCACCCGUACCAGGUGCAGACUCCGAGUACAGUAAUUAUUCUCAACAGGCCACCUGAGUGACAAGACAGUUAGGGGACAGUGGAAGAAAUUGUACAUACUACAGACUUGCAAUUCAAUGAUAUAACACAGCCUGUAUGAUUUUCUUCCAUGAAACAUUUCAAUGAUCAAGACAGCAUGAAAUUGGUAAUAACUGGUGAUACCACAAAUGAAUAUGGCCAAGUAUCAAGCCGUGAUUGAAUUAAACCUUAUUGAAGUAUUCACUAACUAAAAUAAUCCUUGAGAGCCAUGCAACCAAAAUUUCAAAUGUUUAUGGAUUCCUUUCAGAGUCAUAUGACUCAUAUUUGUAAACAGUUAGCUCGGACCCAGCAUGAGCGGCAGCAACAGGCGUGUGGCAUCUACAGAAGGCCAUGCUGUGGCAGGUGUCCAGGAAAGGCUGGGGCACUUUGUUGCCUCCCUCGCCCCUCGGAGGACCUUGUCGAGUGGCUCUCGGCCGGAGCCCGCAGGCUCCAAGGCAAGGUGAAGGCUGCUCGGCGCUUAUCAAUCUCUCUCUUUGGCGGGUUUGGGAGUUUCGGAAUGCUUGCAUCUUCGAAGGAGCCACCCCGGUGGUUGCUCGGCUCGUCGAGGACAUCUUAGCGGAGGUGGACUUGUGGUGUGCCGCCGGCGCGCGUCCGCUCAUGGCCACCUCCCUCUCCACGCGUGUCCGCCGGAUGUCGGGCCUAGCUCUCUCCUUGUAUAGUUGCCAAAGGCUUUCUUCUUCUUCUUUUCUUUCUUUUCUUUUACGUUUCUUUCUUUGAGCCUCUUUUGGGUCUCUUUAUUGUUGCCUUGUUUGUACUUGCGCUUCUUGUGCUUUCUUCUUAAUGGAAAAGACACGCCGCUCGGCGUGUUCGAGAAAAGAAAAAAAGGUGUCCAGGAAAGAUUAGGAUAGGAUAGGAACUUAGAAGAUGAGAGUUAGGGUGUUUGCAUUAAGGAAGAGACUUAAUUUGGAACAAGUAGAGUUUGUUUAGGAGAGGGAUAUCGAGUCCUAGUCGGUAAAAGUCUGGUCUUGGGCACCAAUGCUUACGCGGCCAGUCUGUGUUAAACGACUGAACACAUCUUCAUUCUCCAACCAGAUCUCCAUGAAAGCCAUGUAUUUUCGUCCUUCCAUAAUGUCAUGAAUUUUCUGUCUAUUACCUGGCAGUGCCACAUGUCACCAGCAUAGCUUGCUGAUUUCAUCAAUCCACCUUGAGCGCCACUUUAUACCUUCCUAACCAUCUCUUUGCCUCAACUCUCAGCUCGGUAAUUGGCUUCUUGAAGGUUGUAGCCAAAUUUCCGAUAUGUCAGCUAGACUAACUCAUGGUCUGGUUUGGACUGCGGGUAGGUAAAGGAAGAGAUGAAUAGGGAACCAAAGGUUGAAGAAGAGCGUUACACAUGAGCCACACUGCCCACAGAUGAUAUUGAGUAAAGGGAGAGAGGAGAGAAGAUGAGAA